rnacentral:lncRNA from 1 species
AACGUGCUUCUGUAUGGGAUUCUUCUAGAGGGAUUGAGAUGAUAAAGCGGAGGUUACGACUUAAAAAGAUUCUUCUUAUCCUUGAUGAUGUAGAUGACAAAGAACAACUAGAAUUCUUGGCUGAGGAGCCUGGAUGGUGUGGUCCAGGGAGCAGAAUUAUCGUAACUAGAAGAGAUAAAAAAGUGGUUACUGGAAAUAAUAAUUAUAACAUUUAUGAGGCUGAGAAAUUGAAUGAUGAUGAUGCUCUUAUGUUGUUUAGCCAGAAAGCUUUCAAAAAUGACCAGCCUGCUGUAGAUUUCGUGGAACUAUCCAAGCAUGUUGUGGGUUAUGCUAAUGGCCUUCCACUAGCUCUUGAAGUUAUAGGUUCGUUUUUGUAUGAAAGAAGUAUCCAUGAAUGGAGAGGUGCAAUUAAUAGAAUGAAUGAGAUUCCUGACGGCAAAAUUAUUGACGUGCUUCGCAUUAGUUUUGAUGGUCUCCAUGAAUCAGAUAAGAAAAUAUUUUUAGACAUUGCAUGUUUCUUGAAGGGGUUUAAAAAAGAUCAAUAACGAGGAUACUUGAAAACCGUGGAUUCCAUGCAGGUAUUGGAUUACCAAUUCUUAUUGAGAGAUCUCUCAUAAGUGUCUCUCGGGAUCAAGUCUGGAUGCAUAAUUUAUUACAGAUAAUGGGUAAGGAAAUUGUUCGUUGCGAAUCCCCUGAAGAGCUUGGAAGGCGCAGUAGACUGUGGACAUACGAGGAUGUCUGCCUUGCACUGAUGGACAACACAGUGAGUAGCUAAUAGAGAACAUUAUCCAUAAGAUUUCAUAAAGAUUAUUUUAAUUUAAGCUCAAUCUAUACUUUUGGUUGACAGGGAAAAGAAAAAAUAGAAGCCAUUUUCUUAGACAUGCCUGGAAUAAAAGAUGCACAAUGGAACAUGGAAGCCUUCUCUAAAAUGAGCAAACUAAGAUUGCUCAAAAUCGACAACGUGCAGCUUUCUAAAGGACCUGAAGAUCUUUCCAAUAAGUUGCGAUUUCUUGAAUGGCAUUCUUACCCUUCAAAAUCAUUGCCAGCUGGUUUACAGGUGGAUGAGCUAGUUGAACUUCACAUGGCUAACAGUAGUAUUGAACAAUUAUGGUAUGGGUAUAAGGUGAGAUCAACUAAUUUAAGGGCCUUUGUAUUUCUUUUUAUCGUUUUCCUAUAUAUGUAUGAUAGUAGCAUCCACAUUUCUUCUCCCCUGCCUGAUUGCAGAGUGCAGUUAAUUUGAAAAUCAUCAAUCUCAGCAACUCACUAAACCUGUCCAGGACUCCAGAUCUUACUGGAAUUCCAAAUCUCGAGAGUCUGAUUCUUGAAGGUUGUACAAGUUUGUCUAAGGUCCAUCCAUCACUUGGAAGUCACAAGAAUCUUCAAUAUGUGAAUCUUGUGAAUUGCGAAAGUAUUAGGAUUCUCCCAAGCAACCUUGAAAUGGAAUCGCUUAAAGUUUUCACUCUUGAUGGCUGCUCAAAACUUGAGAAGUUUCCAGAUGUACUAGGAAACAUGAACUGUUUGAUGGUGCUUUGUUUGGACGAGACUGGUAUUACAAAACUAUCUUCAUCGAUUCGUCAUUUGAUUGGCUUAGGUCUAUUGAGCAUGAAGAACUGCAAGAACCUUGAAAGCAUUCCGAGUAGCAUACGUUGUUUUACCAUGCUUGAAAGAUACCUCCAGGUCUUCUCUUAAUCAUACCCCAACCUCUUUGUAUCUCUCUCUCUCCCCUUCUCUCCAUCUAACAUUUUGGUUUUUCAUGGUAUAGGGUUUGUCUAAUCCAAGACCUGGAUUUGGUAUCGCUGUUCCUGGAAAUGAAAUUCCAGGCUGGUUUAACCAUCAAAGCAAGGGAUCUUCAAUUAGUGUGCAAGUGCCUAGUUGAAGCAUGGGGUUUGUUGCGUGUGUUGCAUUCAGUGCAAAUGGAGAAAGUCCUUCUCUUUUUUGUCAAUUCAAAGCCAAUGGAAGAGAGAAUUAUCCUUCGCCGAUGUGUAUUAGUUGUAACUCUAUCCAAGUUCUGUCAGAUCAUAUUUGGCUAUUCUAUCUAUCUUUUGAUUACCUUAAAGAGCUUAAAGAAUGGCAGCACGGAUCCUUUAGCAACAUUGAGCUGUCAUUUCAUUCUUUCCAGCCAGGAGUAAAGGUGAAGAAUUGUGGUGUCUGUUUGUUAUAUUCUCCAUCAUCUCAAUCUUCUGCCCAUUUUAUUGUUGCAAGCAAAGAAGCAUCUUCUUCAUAUAAAGCUUCUUUAUCGGUGUCUUCAUCUUACCGUCAAUGGAUGGAAGAUCUUGUGAUAAAAAAAAAGUGGUUCGCUGUUUAUAGAACACACAAGCGAAUAAGUUGUUCUGCCUUAUUUAAGCAACAUGAGCAAUGACUUAUGACACCCAAAAAAGAUCUUCAUUGAUGUUUUCUCAUUCACCACGAAGAAUCAGGGCUGUCAAUUAUUAUAUUUGCAAGAGAUUGUGCUUCUUUACCUUGGUGCUUUGACGAACUUGUCAAGAUUGUCGGAUUCAUUGAUGAAAUGAGAUCGGACACUGUGUUUCCAGUUUCUUGUGAUGUUGAACAAUCAAAGAUAAAUGAUCAAACAGAGAGUUACACAAUUGUCUUUGAUAAGAUUGGAAAAAAUCUCAGGGAAAACGAGGAGAAGGUACAAAGAUGGAUGGAUAUUCUCAGUGAAGUUGAGAUUUCAUCUGGAUCGAGAUCAGCGGAAAGGUAUCAUUACUUUUAUUUUAUAUCUCGACGUAUCAACCACUUCAAGUAAAUGAAACUGGGAAUACUGAAAGAUAAGAACUUAAUGUCAACAAAGUUGGAAAAAUAUGAUAAAAGAUCAUAAUUUUUAUUUUUGACUUUCGAAUUGGACUAAAAUUUCUGUAGAUUAUUCCUAAGGCUUAGUUUUACCAUGCAGGGAUGGGGACAAGAAUGUCCAGGUUUCAGGUACUUUUUCUUCAGCUUUCAUGUAUAGCUUUGCUUGUGUAUCGUUUAAAACACAAGAUAAAAUCAUCUUAUUGUUAAAAUUGAAUUGCUGAAUAGACUAAGCUCACUCUAGUCAUACAAAGCAAUGGUUAAUGUACUUGAUACAAAGAAUAGGAAGCAAACAAACUGAACUAUGAAGUACAAAAUUCCAAAGUUAGCACAAAAAUAAAGAAAAAAAAUUAGGGAUGUAUCCCAGUUCAAUUGGUUGAGUAACAUAAUCUAUUGAUUUAAAAAAAAAAAAAAAACAUAAAGCAUUGCGCUACUCACCAUAGCAUAACCUCUAAGAAUUAAAAUCUCAAAAAGUUGUGCUAGGAGUAGCGCGCUCAACCUUUAAAUUUUUUAUGCUAGAGGUUUUGAUAUAUAUAUAUUUCUAAACAAAAAAAAAUUUAAAAUAUAUUGGUUAAGAAAAAAAUUUAAAAUUGUUCAAUGACUGUCUACAUUACAUAACAGAACAUCAAAUCUUUGAUGGGAUUUAAUCAAGUAACCUGAAAAGGUAGCCUCACUGGUGUCAUAAUAACAUUCACAGACUUAGCUUUCAUGGUAGUAGCUAUCUCUCAAGCAACUUUAUUUAUUAUUUAUUUCUUAAUUUCCUUUCCUCAAGUGAUCACUUGAAAAGAUAGCUAUGUGUUUUGAUUGAUGUAUAAUUGUCUUUAAGAACAUACCAUCCUUUUCAAUCUUCAUAGCUCAAGCUCAAGUAUUCAUUGCUGCCCCAAAAUGGAAAUCGAAUUCUUGUACAAAUAUAGUUUGAUAAAAAAAAAAGGUUAUCUUUGUUCGUUGCUUCUUCAUCAUCAUUGUCAUUAAAUGUUUCUAUCUUGAGUCUUAGAUUUUGGAAAUGUAAACAAAAUUCCAAGAUUAAUUUUUGUAUUGUUAUUUCAGGAAGAGUCAAGCCAAGAAGGUAGUUUGUAUUCCAGCACCAGCUGCUGCAAACAGCAGGUCUAGUGGAGAAGUAGUUCCAUCUGACUUGUGGGCAUGGAAAAAAUAUGGACAAAAACACAUCAAGGGUUCUCCUUAUCCAAGGUGUGUGUAUAUAUAUAUAUAUAUUAUAUGAAGUUGAUAAGAUUACAAAGAACAAACAGCUGGAUUUUUCAGUUCUCUAUUCUCUCUAACAAAUUAUAUCAUUGCCUGGAAAAAUGUUUCUUGAUUUAAUUCUUCUUCUUCUUAUUACCCUGAAUAUAUUUUUGCUUAGUAAUGCCCUGAAAAAGUUCUGGUGAACCCAAGUAAUGCUUCCCGAGACACUGAGCUCAAACAGUUUGUUGUUCGGUGCAUAAACAACAUUUUAAGCAUUGAUUGACUGGUUGUAACUUGCAGUGCUAGUGUUGAUGAAUGUGUAUGCACUAUUGUUCUUUGAGCUCAACAGCUUCAAGAGUUCCCAAUUUGCAUGCUCAAAUGAUUGGCAGGAAGUGAAUCCAAAACACUGAGUUUCUUAGCAUAUAAUAUUGUUGUGAACAAUUAGUGGUUUUCUUGUCAUCUUUCUGAUCAGUUUUCAGUUUUGAACUUUGAUUUUCUUUGAGUAAUUAUUAUUGUGAAAGUGGUCUGUAAAUGUUUGGUUAAGAAUUGCACUGAAUGUUAAAACGUAUUGUCUUUCCUUCCAGAGGUUACUACAGAUGCAGCAGCACUAAGGGUUGCUUAGCAAAGAAGCACGUAGAGCGGAGCCGAAAUGAUCCUAACAUGUUGGUCAUCACCUACAAUUCUGAGCAUAACCAUCCAUGGCCAACACAGAGAAAUGCACUUGCUGGCUCAACAAGGUCUCAGCCAACAAAGAGCAAUGCAGCUUCAAAGAGCUCCACAGGUGCUCAAGCACGAAAAACAGCAAAUACAAAGGAAGAUCAGAAGGAGAGUAGCAAUGAUACAUUGUCUCCUACCGAUAUUAUUGGUGGUAGCUCAACAGCAAGCGCAUCUGUUAAAGAGGAGUCUGAUGACAUUGAGAAGCAGAUGGAGAUGGAUGAUAAUGAAUUCAGUGAAGGGUUUUCUUAGAGUUACUGUUGGCGGGAAAGACCACUAGUGGUGACUUUUAAAUAACACACUGUUUUUAUUUCAAAAUAACAAGAAGAUUACAAGCUCUCAAACUCACCCACUCUUUCUCGUAUUUUCCACACACAUUGCAAUGCUUUCUUGAUGUCUAUUUAUAGACAUGAACGGUAGGACAGAAAGGAAAACCAGAGAACAUGCAGAAUAUAUUCCACCAGCUCAUCUUUCUACUUUUUACUAAAGUAGAUGAGUUGUUCCACUUUGUUGCUUUAAUGGAGUGGGACUACCUCACAUGGUAAUGUUCUAACAAUUGGUCCUUAUGAUUGAGGUUAUAGCAACAAAUUCUCUCAUGGUUUAUUUGCUUUCUAGUUAACUUCUUUGGUAAAACUGGAUCUGUGAUGUUUGCUAAGGACACAACUUUCAUAGACUUCAUCUAGAUGAUUAAUAUGGGGCAUAACUUUGACUAUCUUUUUACUUACUAGCAUCUUCAAACUUGUAAAAUUUAGAUGUUCAAGCCUUAGGUGCCAAAGUCACUCUUCAUUGUUGGUGAUGACACUCAAAUACUUUGCUGGAGCAUAUUGGAUGUUUAUAGGAAACAUCUUAUUCUUGAACAUCUUCACAUAGGCAAUUAAUCUCCUAUUAUAAUCUUCAAUUGUUAGAUUACAGUUCUUCAUAAGAAGAGUGUAACCUUUCUCUAGAAGUUGGCCUAUACUCAGCAAGUUAUGCUUAAUUGCUAGAACAUAAUAAACAUCUGCAAUGUAGCUAUGAUCGCCAUUCUUCAAACGAAUUGGGGUGUUGCCUCUUCUUUUCAUUGGAACUUUUGAGGUGUCUCCAAAAAUGACUAGACGUUUUACAGUUUCAUCUAGAUCUCCAAAUAGAUCUCGUUGACCACUCAUGUGAUUGUUAGCUCCAGAAUCCAAAUACCAUAUAUUUUUCUUGUUGUUAUCCAUUUUUGGGUUUCCACAAAAAAAAUUUGAAAAUGAGAAAAUACAAAAAAAAAAAUAUAUGAAAAAUAUUAAAAAAAAUCCAAAAAAUAAUAGGAGCGAGAAAAGGACUGGAAUGCUGAAAAAAGGACAAAAUUGGUUGAGAAGGUUCAAAAAUACAAAAUAUUAAAAUUUAACAGUAUAUUUUUUACUGAUGGGAGUCCUGUUGACAAAUAAAAUUCAAGUUGAGAAAGAAAAGUUUAAAAUCAAAUAUUUAUGGACUCAAGUAAAUUUUAUCUAAGGUUUAAUUGAAUUUAUGGAGGGUUUGAUUACAAGAAAAGAUUGAUUUUCAAAUCAAUUUAGGCUUUUAUUGGAAGAAAUUAAAGUUCUAGGGUCUAAUUAUAAUUUUGAAGAGUUGAUUUGGUCAAAUCAUAGGCUUAAUUGCAUAAUUAUUAAAUUUUGGUGGUCAAUUAGGGACUUAAUUGAAACAAUUCAAAACUAAGAACUAAAUCAGAAAAGGUGCUAAAAUUAAGGGGUCUAAUUACAAUUUUUCCGAGGGGCUUGAUUACAAAAUUACAAAAAAACAUCCAAGGACCAAAUCAGAAAUAUGCAUUUUGAAUUAGCAAACGGCGUCAUUUCCUUGAGAACUGUUGAUCACCUUCUUCAUCUGCAACGGUUUCGACAGUUAAUGAGCGCUAUCAAUGGAGCCAUUUCAACAACAAAAACAGCAGAUUGCUUCAGUUAUGGGGAAUGUUUCACGGCUACUAUUCCUCUACAUGCCGUUACCAAGUUGGACGUUGCACUGCAGGCCAUUCUUUGGCUUAUAAAAGCCAGAGAAAGACGAUGAAAUAAAGGGGAGAACGACAAAAGGAAAACGAGAACAAAGGGAGAAAGGAGAGGUGACAGUGGGGAAAAAAAAAGAAGGGGAGAGAGUCGCACCAUCACUGCCAACGCCAUCGUGAUCAGCUCAUCAUCUACUUCGUCCAGCAGCCACUGCCAUUACCCAUCACAAACGCACCAGCACUGCACAAAGGAGGGGAGAAAAAGAACGAGACAGGGGAAACGAGAGAGGAGAAAGAAGAACAGAGGAGAGAACACAGUGAGAAAUUCAGGAAAAACAAAAGAAGGGCGCAUGAGGAUAUAGAAACCAAAGAGCAAAGGAACAGCAGUAGGACAAAUCGAACGGCGAAGCCAAAACGCAAAGACAGCAGGGGAGGUUAACACCACCAUCGGUUUCCUUUCCCCAGAAGCAGGUAUGUUCAUGUCCUUUCUUCGCAACAAUUGACGCCAGUUUUGUCUAGAAAAACAAAAAGAAACAGGAGACGAAAGUAAGCCAAAAGAUCGCCAUUUCGUUUUUACUCUGUUAAUAACAGCUAUCUGCAAAAAACGAAGGAUGAACAGUGCGAAGGUAAUAUAAUUACACGCAUAGAAUUUUACGCGUGCAUGGCUUGGUCAACCCACAUGGGUGGCUGGGUCCAGCCCAGCCAUUUGGGCCGGGCUGGACCCAGCCCCAAAAAUUCUUGAAAAAAUUAUUUCAAAAAAGGCUGUGAUUUUCCGCAAAUAUUUCUAUUGUAUUUUAAUCAAUAUUGGUUUGUAUUUUUAUACUAUAAAAAUACAAAUUUGGUAUUAAAAUACUCGGUUUUCGUAAAAAAAUAAAAAAAUAAAAAUAAAAUAAAAUGUUUUGUUUUCAUGCAUACGGCUAAGUCUCUCAAAAAUAAAAAUAAAAAUCAUAUUGUAUUUUCAUACAACAAAGAAAAUUUCAAAAAAUAUGUAUUAGCAUGCAUUUUGACUUUAAUAACCAGUUUAUUAAAGUCACGAGAACUAGGCCAAUAUUUCAAAAAUUCCAAAAAAAUUAUUUUGUUUUCUUUUAAUAACUGGGGUUACGACCUUAUACGCAAGACGUAUUCUAGAUAUUAAAUUCUUUUAUUGACAUCAGAAUUACCCGUUAAGAUAAGGAUCUCCUUACCGAGGAGAACUUUUCUUAAACCAUAGAUGGACCACCAACUAGAAAACAUGACAAGACCUUAGAUUUUAUCAUACAAUAAAACAAUGCGGCUUACCUUAGGUAAGGCGUAUUUGGGGUGCUAACACCUUCCUUUUACACAACCAGUCCCCGUACCCGAUCUCUGAGACCAGUUAGGGUUCCUAGUGACCAAAAUACUAGGUAGUGACUCCCAUUCCAUUUUUCCACUAAUAAAAGACAAGAAUACCUUGUCUCCCUAUAUUUGCCGCAUUAGAUCAUAUUUUGAGGGUGUAUGUUUUCGCCGCGACGCCGCACACGUGCGACACUCCUGAUUCUCGCCUAGUCCUUGUUGGACUAAUAAUGCAACUGGUCCUCUUAUGGUGAUAUUAUUAUCUACAUAGUUGACUUCUCCUUCUACCUCUGAUGGAGCUUUUCUUCGACAUUCAAUGCUAUAGUGCCCAAAUUGAUUGCAUUUAUAACACUAGAUAUUUCUCUUGUCAUAGUUGUUAUAACUGCCUCCCCUUCCUCUAGGAGUAAAUGUUUGUUAUCCUCGACCUCCUCUAAUGGUGUUUCUACCACCUCUUCCUCUGAAUUCUGUGUUCCAAGAUCCUCUUCAUUGGAAUCGUUUAAAUCCCCCUCAGCUUUGUUGACCGCUUCCUUGAGUGGUAUAUCCAAUUGUUGAAAUCUCCCUACCCUCCUUGAGAGAUAACUUUGAUUGUAAGGCAUGUUCAAUUGCCUUAUCUUUUUUUACUAUCUUUUGUUCAUGAGCUUGUAAAGAACUCAUAAGCUCAUCCAUUGUCAACUUGUCCAAUUCUUUGGAUUCUUCAAUAGCGACAAUAACAAAAUCAAAUUUUGAAUUUAGGGAUCUCAAAAUUUUCUCAAUAAUCCGAGCAUCUGAAAGGGCUUCUCCAUUUCUUCUCAUGUGAUUGACUAUCACCAUAAUUCUCGUGUGAUAUUCAGAAAUAGAUUCUAAUGACUUCAUUUGUAAUUAUUCAGAUUCACCUCGCAAAGAUUGAAGAAGAAUCUUCUUGAUUCUGCCAGCACCUUUAUAUUUUUGUUGAAGAGCCUCCCAUAUUUCUUUUGAUGUUUCUGCGGAAACUAUGAUCUCAAAUGUGGCUUCAUCAAGACCUUGAUAAAUGAUAGUCUUUAUUGUGUUGUCUUUCUUUCUAUGGGCUCUCAAGACUUGUUUUUGUGUCUCUUGUAAUGAUUCUUCUGCUUUUUUGGACUCUGAUUCAUCAUAACCAUAUUCCACAAUCUCUAUACACUCUUGAGAACCAUGAAAUGCCUUCAAUCUUAUAAACCAAUUAUCAUAGUUGUUUUUGGUCAGCUUUGGGAUAAGUGUUUGUGCAUUUUCUGUAGUCAUUUUAUUCUUUAAAUGACUAUAUCACUUUAUGGGAGUUGAAUUUGGCAAAACGGACACUGUAGAUGGUUUCAGAAUGCCCACAAAUGUAGGGUCAGAAAUAAGGUGAACCGGUCCAAGAAACGAUUUUGGAUGUCGAAGGGUUUGCUGCAGUUGAACUGGGAAUAUUCUGGGAAUGUUUGUUUGGCUCAGAUCGGCUCGGUUGGCGGUUAAGCGGCUCGGUUAGGGUACAACUUAGGAGGCUCGGCGCGACUCAAAUAUGAUGUGCGUGUGGCUUAGUAGUCUUCUUCCUCUGAGCGCGUCGGAUGCGCGUGGGCUACAGUGCUGGAUUUUCAGGAGGCGCAUGUGAGACACCCCUUGCUCCAAUGAAUCUAAUUUUUGUACCGAUAAGUUUGUAUAGAUGAACUCUACACCGUAGAAUGGUCAAAAUGUGUUUUGGACAAUUUUGAAAAUUCAGGUAUAUCCUAGAAACUCCUCUAUUUUCUGAUCAACGAGGCUCUGAUACUAAUUGUUGGUGGGAAAGACAAUUGGUGGUGGCUUUUAAAUACUUAGAAAAGAUAAAACACACUGUUUUUAUUUCAAAAUAACAAGAAGAUUACAAGCUCUCAAACUCGCCCACUCUUUCUCUCAUGUAUUUUCCACACAUUGCAAUGCUUUCUUGAUGCCUAUUUAUAGACAUGAACGGUAGGACAGAAAGGAAAAACAGAGAACAUGAAGAAUAUAUUACACUAGCUCAUCUUUUCAAGUGGAAAAAAUUAUUCAAGCACAACCUCCACCCUCUCCUCCCUCCCUUUGGUCAAUCAUGUGGGCAUUCCUUAAAUUAAAAAAAUAUAUAGACAUACAUGCUUUUAUUGCAUUGAUGGGAAAUAAAAUGGAAGAAGAAGACAAGAGUAUGUAUAUAAUUAUAUUUGUUUGAUGUUGUUGUUUAGAAUUUUUUUAAAUUUUUUUAAAAAAUAUAUUAAAAUAAUUUUUCUUUAAAAAUAUCACUCAAGAUUUCAAUAAUCAGUGAAGAUAUUAGAUUAAGCUUAAAUUAUUUAAAAAAGUUUAAUAGACUCGGUUUUAAAAUAUAUUGGUUUAUUGUAAUCAUCCAUGAUCAGAAAGCCUUCAAAUUUGGCACCAUUGAAUUAAAAAAAUUUCGAAGUUUAUGCUGCUGAGCUACUCCAAGCAACGCAAUCUUUGAGAAUGUAGCGCAACUUAUUGAAAUUUAAAAUUUCAACAAGCUGCGCUACUCCUAAGGACAACCACCAAUAGUGUAUUAUUUUUUUCACGCAUGCUACUUUGCAAAAAAAAAUGUUGUCACGUGUGCUAUUUUGUGAAUAACUCUAAGAAUAAUGAUCAACUUACGGGAAAAAAAAAACAAAAAAAUGAUUAGUGCAUGUAAUUUUCUAGUAAUUACACCUUAAAGUCUAGCAAUAUCUAGGUUUCUUCUUCUUUUUCGUUUUCUUAUAAGCGUCUGUCGUAGGUUUGGCACAUAACAUUAAAAAAAGUAAGCACAACUUUUUUUAAUGUUAUGUAUUGUAGACUGCAUGACUCUUUCACAAUAACGCACUCACAUUUCUCAUCACUGUGCAGAACGUGUUUAGGCUGUUGAAACUUUAGAUCAUAAUCGCUUGCCCUUUUAUCUUAAGCUGAUUUAAUACAUUUCUCCCAAUUUCAUUUGUAGCAUGGCAAGUUAAAAAAUCUAAUUAUCUUCGAUCCCCACUGAAACCCUUACCUGGAUGUGGAUCCUGAUUCAUACAUGACUCCAUUUCCAACUGUACGCAUUAUUUGCCCACAAAUAGUAAACUUUAAUUUCUAAUUGUCAUUGUUGUGAGUGUACUGAAGUUGAUGUGAAGGACUUAUUCAAACAUGAUACUAGAGGAAAUUAGUUCUUUACUUGAAGGCUGGUUGGAGUAUAUCCUUAUCAUUAGAUUGUUUUUUUUAAAAAAAAAAUAGUGAAGAAAGAUUAGCUCUGCUACUGCGUCACUAGCUAAAGAAAGUGCAUAUUAUUUGGGAUUUGCUCCUCUCAAAUCACAACUUAAUAUAAUUCAUCAUGUUGGAAACAUUCUAGCUUUUGAAUUCAUAUUAAUGUCUGGUGGACCCCCACGAUUAUUGUUUUGGUGUUGAUGAAAAGGUUUGGCCAUUGAAAUUAGGUUUGCCCCGACUGAUGUGGAGCUUGUGCUUUACUACUUGAAGAGGAAGAUAUGUGAGAAAGGUUUUGAGCUUGAUAUUAUUCGCGAUGUUGAUGUUUACAAGUGGGAUCCUGAGAGUUACCUGAGCUAUCCCCAUUGGAGAGCGACUGGCAAUGGUACUUCUUCAGUCCAGGGGAUAGGAGAUAUCACACUGGAGCAAGGUCAAAUAGGGCAACCCGACAGGGGUGGUGGAAAGCUACAGGGAGAGAUCGCAGUACUGUGUACAAUUCUCGAAAAGUUGGAGUUAAAAAGACCUUGUUUUCUAUAGAGGUCGUGCACCAAGAGGAGAGCGAACUGAUUGGAAGAUGCAGGAGUAUACUUUGUGUGAAGAAGAACUCAGGGGACGGGCAAAUGUGCAGGAGUUUUAUGCCCUUUACAAGCUUUGCAAAAAAGGUGAAAUGGAUUUCAUGGAAAUUGAUCUCGGUCCACAGCCUAAUUUCUCCGAGACGGUGUGACGUAGGACACAAAUCCCAGCUAAAUUAUUUAAAUUGUAAUAGUUAUUUAAUUGUUAAUUUUCUUUAGGAUUUUUUAGUUUUAUUUAAUUAGGCAUGUGGUUUCCCUAGGAAAUUAGUAAUAAUUCUAGAGUGUUUUUUUUUCAUAUUCGGUUUUUUUUGGACUUUCCAAAAUCACCAAUCAUCCUGCUGCUCUCCUUAGUGAACUUGUAUCACUUUCCCAAUGACAUGCUCGUUUUGGUCACCCAUCUUUAAAACUUGUCAAUUGAAUAAUGUCUCGGCAUCAUCUGCUAGUCACAACCGAGCUCUCUCCUGUGGUUUAUCAUGCAUACUAACUUGGUAAGAGUCAUUGUCUUCUGUUAUGAAUUGUUCAAUGGUACUGAGGGUAUAAGAUAAGUCUGACAUAAAUAAGGAAUGAGAGAGGUUUUUCAUGAGAGGUAGUUGUCUUUGGUAAGUUCAAUUUUGGAAAGAGUAGUGGUAGAGGAUUGUGGACGGGAGCAGAGGUUGUAGAAUUAAAGGAAGACAUUGGAAGAAGAUAAGACCAGUUUUGCUCUAAUACCAUAAAGAGUUUCAACGUUUUUGGAAAUUGCUUUGAUGUCUUUUGGAUGCAUGAAGUAUUAUUAUUUAUAGAUUAGUUUGCGACAUCAAUGAUCUGUACAUGGAAUACAUUUUGAAAUUUAAAUUAUGCGGCUGUGUACAUUAUCUUCGGUUUUAAAGGUCAUCUUCAACAUAUUUGAAUGUGUUGUCAUCUACAUGAUAUUCGACUAGUUUGGAAGUUGAUUGAGCAGAUUGUUUCUAUUGGAUGUGUGCUUGAUUUUUGGAUGCAGUUGUUGCUUUGCUUUCUGCAAAAUUGGUUGUUAAUCAAGUAGAUGAUUGUGACUUAAUUGAUGGUGCAAACCCUGGUAAAAAAAAACAAAUAUCGGUAACAUUACUGAGUAACAGUAAGAAGUCUGUAAAAGAAAUAAAAAGAGGGUUUGAUGUAUUAAGAAGUUUAAGAGUUAAAGUGUUCUUUUGAAGAAGGAACAAUUGGGCUUGGAGGGAAAUGUGGAGGAGAGCUUGAUUCAAUUUGUUUUGGAUUUUAAUUUUUUAUUCCGUAAAGGUAAGAAAACUCUCUUCCAUGAUGUUUCAUUGUGUUGUUUUUUAUGUUUGUUCUUGAAUUGAGAAGAAUUGGUAUUAUGUAAAGUGGUUCAAGACCUGUUUGGAAAUUUGAUUUAAAAAAAAAAAAUAAUUUUUUAUAUAUUUUUAAAUUGUUUUGAAGUGUUUAUAUCAAAAUUAUUUUUUAAAAAAUAAAAAUAAUUAUUUUUAUAUAUUUCUAAAAAAAAAUACUUUAAAAAAUAAUAACUACUAUAUUUUCAAUCACUCAUGGUAAAAGGUUUGAGAUGAGAUAUUGGUAAUGGGAGAAAAAUUGGUGUUUGGGAUUUGUAAAAAUCAAAGAUGGGCUGUUUGUGAUAAAAAUAUUAAAGUUUGAGAUUCUUAAAUUCAAUUCAAUAUGAUUUUUUUUUGUUUUUCGUUAAUUAGUUCCAGUUAAUAGGGUGGUACGUGGCUAAGUUUAUUUUUUUAUAAGAAAAAUAAUGGGAAUUUAUAAUAUUUAAUAUAAGAGUUCCAUAGUUAAUAGUUUGAAAAUUCAUUAAAAAAUACUUUUCAAUUGUGAUGUGUGUGGCCCAACCCCUGCUCUAGACAGGAAGGUGCCUCUGCUGUCCACUGCGCGUUCGAUACCCUUUCAUUUCUCUUUUUGUUUUUUCUCCACCGAAACUCCCAUCUUCUUUACAAUGUAAGAAAAAGAUCCGUAAGAGGUUGGAUUCUGUUUUGUUAUACAAGCACUAGUUUAUUAAACAUUAAAAAAAAAAACAUUAUUAUUAUUAUUAUUAUUAUUAGAAUUAAUAAAGAAAUAAAAGACCAUGAUAUUGUUUUACUAUAGAUAGAUCGAAGCCUAGAUCAUAUUUUUUUUUUUUCAAAACAUUGAUUUCAAUUUAAGACCGAUUAAAUUGGAUUGUAAUAGAUUUGAAGUUAGAAGCAGGUCUCCGGAAGAUAUUAGGACGAGUUUGAGGAUUUGUUUUUACUGGAAAUGAAGAAAAAAGGUGUUAGGAUGCACAUGGAUGGUGGCCCUUGAUUUUCUGACUAUCGAAGCGUUGUCGAGAAAACAUAGCACCACAUGUUCUUCCAAUAAAUGACGUGUCCUUUUCAACUUCUUGUUGUGGAUAUCGGAUUAAAAGUUACUUUUCAAUGGAAAAAAAAAAAGCGUGGGCACUGUCAACUUUUUUUAAGUUGAAGAAUUUUUUUUUUAUUGUGAAUAAAAAGAGUUGACGCAUGUUUUUAAUCAAAGCAAUCAGAAUUAUAUACAAUACAAAAAAUGUUAAAAUGCAAAUCAAAGAAUAAAUCUAGAAACUAGGUGAUAAAUACGGUUCAAAAUAUAUGAUUUCAUGUAGCCAAAAAAUUAACAAUUUAAGUUCUAUCAACAUAAAAUAAUUUCCUAGUAUGUUUAUCAGAAUGUUUAUUUUUUGAAGAACAAAAAGUUAUGAGAGUCAUAAAAAAAAUUAAUUAAAAAAAUAAUUAAUGGUUUUAUAAUUAUGCCAUGAAUGUAUAUUUUUUAUGUAAUCAUGCAGUAAUAAAAAAGUUGUGCGGAAAGCCAAAAAUCAAAAUUUAUUAUAGAGCCAACGGAAAUAAAGGUCGCGAAGAGGGUGAUGCCGCUGAUGGUUGGUUCUCUUCCUCCUUGUGACUUUUUGUGGACACGUUCGGCCUCGGACAUUGAGAUCGAGGCAGGUAAUUGCGUGGACUGGUGGAAGAAAAAUUGGGUUUUUCCUCUCGGAGUCUUCGUCUAUGCUAUCUUAUGGGUAGAAAGUGUCGGGGGAUGAGUGGCUGGGAUUCAUUCAUGAAUAGCGGCUUUAAGAAUUUUCAUUAUUGGACGGAUCGAGAACCUUUUUUAUGAGUUUGCAUUUGGUGUUCAAGCUAUGGUGGCUACAUUAUCCAAGAGGUUGGAUUCUGUUUUGUUAUACAAGCACUAGUAUAUUAAAAAUUAAAAAAAAAAUAGUAAUAAAAAAUAGAAUAAAAAUUAAAAAAUAAAUAAAUUAGAGUGUAACUAAGUUUUUUCAAUUGAAGGGUUAACUGAAAAGAAAAAUAACUUGAACAAAAACAAAAAUAAAAAAUAAUGAGGAUAAAAUUGAAAAAAAUAACACACCAUAAACUUGGAUUGAAUAGUGAGAUUAAAAGCCAAUAAAACUUUUAUAAAAGAGUUAAGGGAAAAAAAAAAAGAAAUCCAAAGAAUAUAGACCAAAUAAAAAAAGGAAUAUGUGAAAAUUCAAAAUCGAAGGAUUAAAUUGAAAAGAAAUAACACUUAUAUAAAAGGGCAAAAGGAAACAAAAAUAUAAAUUGAGGACCAAAUUAAAAACAAUAAAAUAAAAUAAAUUUGGAUUGAAGGAUGAAAUUGAAAAAAAAAGUAUCAUAAAAGAGUCAACUAAAAAAACUAGAAAUAAAAAAAAAAAACCAAAUUGAAAAGUAUAAUAUAUUAUAAAUUGGAAUUGAAGGAAUAAAUUAAAAAGAAAUAAAACUUUUAUUAAAGGCUCAAUGAUGAAAAUAAAAAAAUAAAAGAAGAAGGACCAAAACAAAAAUACAAAAAACAAAAAAACCAAUAUGCAAUUUUUGGGGGGCAAUAAAAAGAAAAGAUCUACUAACAACAAACCUAUAAUAAUUGAAUUGUUGACGAGAGGGAAAGAGGUGAUUGUAGAGCGGUUGUUGGGGCUGCUGGUAUGGGUGGUGGAUGUUGUGGUGGUUUGAUAUGGCUAUUUGGGUUGGUGUGAAGGAGUGGAGUUGUUGCAACGAUGACAGAGGGGCUAGUUCAUUGGUUAAGGUUUCUGACAAGGUGAGGGCGAUCAAGAAUUGAGGUUUUUGUAUUGAUAGAAAUGCAGAAAAAACUCCAAUCUUGAAAGCAAAAAAUGACAUCACUAGUAGGAAAGGAAGUGUUAUUGAAAGCUAUGGCGGCGGCAAUACUAAAUUGCAUGAUCUUGUGUAUCUUAUUCCUUACUAGUUUUUAAUUGGAAACUUAUAAAUCUAUGGAAAAUUGAAAGGCGCACCGGAGAAGUUGGAAAUAUCCGUUAAAAUCAAAGCUUACGACGACAUAAGUUUUAAAGAAUUUGAUUAUUUCAAUAAGGCCUUUCUAUAAAAGUGCUUAAAGAGAUUCGAAUCAAUAUCCCAAAAAGUUGGAUUGGGAAAGCGGUUUCAGACCGUUUGGAAAUUUGAUUUUUUUAAAAAAAUAAUAAUUUUUUUAUAUUUUUAAAUUGUUUUAGCAUACUUUUAUCAAAAUUAUUUUUUAAAAAAUUAUUAAAAAAAUUAUUUUAAUAUAUUUAAAAAAACACACUUUAAAAAAAUAACUACCAUUAUACAUCCAAGCACCCUUGUUAAAAGGUUUGAGAUGAGAUAUUGGGAAUGGGAGAAGAAGUGGUAUUUGGGAUCGGAGAGGAAUUAAAGUUGGGUUGUUUGUGAUAAAAAUAUUAAAGUUGGAGAUUCUAAACUCAAUUUAAUAUGAUUUUUUUUUUUGUUUUUCGUUAAUUAGUUCCAGUUCAUCGGGUGGUGGCUAAGUUUAUUUAAAAAGAAAAUCAAUGGGAAUUUAUAAUAUUUAAUGUAAGAGUUUUGUAGUUAUUAGUUUGAAAAUUCAUUAAAAAAUACUUUUCAACUGUGAUGUGUGUGGCCAAUGCGCGUUCGAUAUCCCUUUCAUUUCUCUUUUUGCUUUUUCUCCACCGAAACUCCAUCUUCUUUACAGUGUAAACUUACCAGUACGAGUUCUUGACCUCAAGGAACCGGAAAAAAAUUCGACGUCAUUGGGCUUGGCUAGAUCUUGUGCCUCUUUAGCCAACACUUACCACACGGUUUGUUUCGUCUAGAUUCGUGAAAUACUCGUAGAAAUUUGGUGUUUUCUGAUUUCUAAGUAGAAUUAUACAUGUUCCAGCUUGAAAUUGCUAAUUGGUAGAUUUAAUUGCCGAAUUUCUUGAUCUUACCUUCUGUUUCAUGUUUGACCACAGGAGCAGGCCUUACACAAAAUAGCGUGGAAAGCAAUUGCUGAACCAAGCGAGCUAGUUGAGGCCAGAAGGGAUCGGUACUAGUUUAUCGCUAUUGGGAUUUUCAUGGCUUCCAGCAGCAUGCAAGGAAUAACCUCAUCUUCAUCUCCUCCUCCUCCACUAUAUAUGCAUGAUGUGUUCCUUAGUUUUAGAGGCAAAGACACGCGGAACAACUUUACUAGUCAUCUAUACUCUAAUCUGAAACAGAGAGGCAUCGAUGUAUACAUGGAUGAUAGGGAGCUCGAGAGAGGAAAGACCAUCGAACCUGCUCUCUGGAAGGCCAUCGAAGAAUCAAGGUUUUCAGUCAUUAUAUUUUCAAGAGAUUACGCUUCUUCACCAUGGUGCUUGGAUGAACUUGUCAAGAUUGUUCAGUGCAUGAAAGAGAUGGGUCAAACUGUUCUGCCAGUUUUUUAUGAUGUGGAUCCCUCAGAGGUAACCGAGCGGAAACGGAAAUAUGAGGAAGCCUUCGGUGAGCAUGAACAAAAUUUCAAGGAAAACUUGGAGAAGGUCCGGAACUGGAAAGAUUGUCUCUCUACGGUGGCCAAUCUAUCUGGCUGGGACAUCCGGAAUAGGUAAAUCAUCUAUCUACUUAUUCUUAUUCUCAAAUCUGCCCCCUGUAUUGUUUCAUUGAUGAACAAGCAUGAUAGUAAAUGUGUAUUUUUUUCAUAUGCAUGAAUUUUUAUUUUUAUUUUUUUAUGAUAUUUUGAACUGAUGUGAUCAAGCAUUUCUAAUCUUUAUAUAAAACUUCUUUCUAUUCUUAGGUUUUUCUUUAUAUUUUGAAAAUAAAAUAAAAUAUUAAACAGAAAAAUUAAAAUGUAUAAAAAUGUUGAAAAACAAAUCUAGCAUGAACAAAUAAAAAGUUAGCUUAAAAAAUUAAAAAUGGUGAAGAAAUGACAACAAAUUCAUCAUAAGAAAUAAAAAAUUGGCCAAAGUUUUUGAAUAUGUUGGUUUUAGCUUUUCAAAAUAAAAUAAAGAGAUUUUCCAUCAUGAAUUAAAAAAUUCAAACUAUUUAUAAAUCAAAGAGACAAAUUUAUUUAUAAUUUUUUUUGUGAAUAUUUUUAUUUUUUUUUAUUUGGAAUUAAAAUUUUAUAGGUUUCUUUCUUUUACUAAUGCAUUGUAACAAUGAAUUUACUAAUUUUUCAUUCUAAAAAAAAAUAAACUACUUAUUAGGGAUAACAGGGUCUUUUAUAAGGGUCAAUAGUCAUUAUAAAAUUAAUAGGGGUAGUUAGGUAUUAUUUUUUUACGGUAUAAUUACUUAGUUGCCUUUGGGGCUCUUUUAAGAUUUUUCACUUUUCAGGGUGCAAUAAAAUAACUUUAUUUCCUUUAAAAUUAAAAAUGAAGUACCUUGCCUUCAAGGGCUUAUUCAUGCUUUUUUUUUUCUUUUUUUGUAAUAAAAAAAGAAGAAAAGUGGCUGGCUUGUUUGUAGAACACACAAGCGAGGAAGUUGUUCUGUUUUAUUUAAGCAACACGAGCAAUGGCUUUUGGCACCUAAAAAAAGCUUUCAUUGAUGUUUUCUGAUUCACCAUGACAUGAUCUAUCUCCCUGAGUGGCAUGUGUGGAGUAAUUCUUUCUGGUUUGUCACCAAAUGACCUUUUUCUUUUCUUUUCUUUUGUCUUUAUCCUUGAAUUCCGCACCCGACCUUCUAAACUUGUAUAGUAACCCUUCAAUUUGGUUUUUUUUUUUUCAUAUUUGGUCUUUUUUUUUAAUUGAUAUUUUUUUAUUUGAAUUAUUUUUAGAAUUGAAAUUUGUUGUUAAUUUUAUACUUUUUUAAUUUUUUAAUCUAUUAGAUUUGAUUCUCAUUCUUUUGAUUACUAUUUAUUUUAUGUAAGAUUAUUUUUAUUUUAUUUUUUUAACGAUUUCAUCCUUCAUUUUUUAUUGUUAUGUUUUUUUUACCUUGGCAAGUUAUAUAUAUAUAUAUAUAUUUCUGAUUUUAUACUUUAACAUUGAAUUAAGCUUUUUGGUUGAGUCUGGAUUUAGGAUUUCAUAUUUUAAAAAGCAACUGGAUGUUUUCAGUUUAUUCUUUCCUUUUCCUCUCUGUUCUUGAAGUUAUCUAUUAUCAGGGCCCUAUUUUUCUCAAAGGUUGGUGUAUUAAUUUCCGGCUAACAGCCAUACAUUUUCGAGCUACAAUAUGUUAAUGUUUAUUUUCCCAUUAUCACUAUCUGAUUUGAUUUCUGCACACUGCAUGAUUAAUGUUUUGCACCCUCCUAUGCAGGAAUGAAUCGGAAUCAAUUAAAAUAAUUGCUGAAUACAUAUCGUACAAACUAAGCGUCACUAUGCCAACAAUUAGCAAAAAAUUAGUUGGAAUAGAUUCUCGUGUAGAGGUAUUAAAUGGCUAUAUAGGUGAAGAAGGAGGCAAAGCAAUCUUCAUAGGGAUUUGUGGAAUGGGUGGCAUAGGUAAGACGACUGUUGCAAGGGUACUAUACGAUAGGAUUCGUUGGCAAUUUGAAGGCAACUGCUUCUUAGCAAAUGUCAGAGAAGUUUUUGCUGAGAAAGAUGGACCACGCCGUUUACAGGAACAACUUCUUUCUGAAAUCUUAAUGGAACGUGCUUCUAUAUGGGAUUCUUAUAGAGGGAUUGAGAUGAUAAAGCGGAGGUUACGACUUAAAAAGAUUCUUCAUAUCCUUGAUGAUGUAGAUGACAAAAAACAACUAGAAUUCUUUGCUGCGGAGCCUGGAUGGUUUGGUCCAGGGAGCAGAAUUAUCAUAACAAGCAGAGAUACAAAUGUGUUAACUGGAAAUGAUGAUACUAAAAUUUACGAGGCUGAAAAAUUGAAUGAUGAUGAUGCUCUUAUGUUAUUUAGCCAGAAAGCUUUCAAAAAUGACCAGCCUGAUGAAGAUUUCGUGGAACUAUCAAAGCAAGUUGUGGGUUAUGCUAAUGGCCUUCCACUUGCUAUUGAAGUUAUAGGUUCGUUUUUGUAUGCAAGAAGUAUCCCUGAAUGGAGAGGUGCAAUUAAUAGAAUGAAUGAGAUUCCUGACGGCAAAAUUAUUGAUGUGCUUCGCAUUAGUUUUGAUGGUCUCCAUGAAUCAGAUAAGAAAAUAUUUUUAGACAUUGCAUGUUUCCUGAUGGGGUUUAAAAUUGAUCGAAUAACAAGGAUACUUGAAAGCCGUGGAUUCCAUGCAGGUAUUGGAAUACCAGUUCUUAUUGAGAGAUCUCUCAUAAGUGUCUCUCGGGAUCAAGUCUGGAUGCAUAAUUUAUUACAGAUAAUGGGUAAGGAAAUUGUUCGUUGUGAAUCCCCUGAAGAGCCUGGAAGGCGCAGUAGAUUAUGGACAUACGAGGAUGUCUGCCUUGCACUGAUGGACAGCACAGUGAGUAGCUGAUAGAGAACAUUAUCCAUAAGAUUUCAUGAAGUUUAUUUUAAUUUAUGCUCCAUCUCUACUUUGUAUUUGUUUUUUACUUGUAUUCCCCUUUUGAUUGACAGGGAAAAGAAAAAAUAGAAGCCAUUUUCCUGGACAUGCCUGGAAUAAAAGAGGCACAAUGGAACAUGGAAGCCUUCUCUAAAAUGAGCAAACUAAGAUUGCUCAAAAUCAACAACGUGCAGCUUUCUGAAGGACCUGAAGAUCUUUCCAAUAAGCUACGAUUUCUUGAAUGGCAUUCUUACCCUUCAAAAUCAUUGCCAGCUGGUUUACAGGUGGAUGAGCUAGUUGAACUUCACAUGGCUAACAGUAGGAUUGAGCAAUUAUGGUAUGGGUGUAAGGUGAGAUCACCUAAUUUAAGGGUCUUUGUAUUUCUUUUUAUCGUUUUCCUAUAUAUUUAUGAUAGUAGCAUCCAUAUUUCUUCUCCCCUGCCUGAUUGCAGAGUGCAGUUAAUUUGAAAAUCAUCAAUCUCAGCAACUCACUAAACCUGAUCAAGACUCUAGAUUUUACAAGAAUUCCGAAUCUCGAGAACCUUAUUCUUGAAGGGUGUACAAGUUUGUCUGAGGUCCAUCCAUCACUUGCACGUCACAAGAAGCUUGAAUAUGUGACUCUUAUGGAUUGUGUAAGUAUUAGGAUUCUCCCUAGCAACCUUGAAAUGGAAUCACUUAAAGUUUGCAUUCUUGAUGGAUGCUCAAAACUUGAGAAGUUUCCAGAUAUAGUAGGAAACAUGAACAAAUUGACGGUGCUUCAUUUGGAUGAGACUGGUAUUACAAAACUAUCUUCAUCAAUUCAUCAUUUGAUUGGCUUAGAAGUAUUGAGCAUGAACAACUGCAAGAACCUUGAAAGCAUUCCGAGUAGCAUACGUUGUUUGAAAUCCCUUAAAAAACUUGAUCUGUCUGGCUGCUCUGAACUUCAAAAUAUACCACAGAAUUUGGGGAAAGUUGAAGGUUUGGAGGAGAUUGAUGUAAGUGGAACUUCAAUAAGACAACCGCCAGCAUCCAUUUUUCUUUUAAAGAGUCUUAAAGUAUUAUCUUUGGAUGGAUGCAAAAGAAUAGCUGUGAAUCCCACGGGUGACAGGUUGCCUUCUUUGUCGGGUCUUUGUUCUUUAGAAGUACUAGAUUUAUGCGCUUGCAAUCUAAGAGAAGGGGCACUUCCUGAAGAUAUUGGCUGCUUAUCGUCAUUAAAGUCUUUAGAUCUGAGCCAAAAUAACUUUGUUAGCCUGCCUGAAAGCAUAAAUCAGCUUUCUGGACUUGAAAUGCUUGUCUUGGAGGAUUGCAGGAUGCUUGAAUCAUUGCCUGAGGUUCCAUCAAAAGUUCAAACAGUAAAUUUGAAUGGUUGUAUACGCCUAAAAGAAAUUCCAGAUCCGAUAAAGCUAAGCAGUUCCAAAAGAUCAGAGUUCAUAUGUCUUAACUGCUGGGCAUUGUACGAGCAUAAUGGCCAAGACAGCUUUGGGUUGACGAUGCUUGAAAGAUACCUCAAGGUCUUCUCUUAAUCAUACGCCAACCUUUUUGUAUCUCUCUCCCUCUCCCUCUAUCUAUCUAACGUUUUGUUUCUUCAUGGUACAGGGUUUGCCUAAUCCAAGACCUGGAUUUGGUAUCGCUGUUCCAGGAAAUGAAAUUCCAGGCUGGUUUAACCAUCAAAGUAAGGGAUCUUCAAUUAGUGUGCAAGUGCCUAGUUGGAGCAUGGGGUUUGUUGCGUGUGUUGCAUUCAGUGCAAAUGGUGAAAGUCCUUCUCUUUUUUGUCAUUUCAAAGCCAAUGGAAGAGAGAAUUAUCCUUCGCCGAUGUGUAUUAGUUGUAAAGCCCUUCUCUUUUCAGAUCAUAUUUGGCUAUUCUAUCUAUCUUUUGAUCAUCUUAAAGAGCUUAAAGAAUGGAAGCAUGAAUCCUUUAGCAACAUUGAGUUGUCAUUUCGUUCUUGCCAGCCUGGAGUAAAGGUGAAGAAUUGUGGUGUCUGUUUGUUAUCUUCUGUAUGUAUUACACCACGACCAUCUUCUGCCCAUUUUAUUGUUACAAGCAAAGAAGCAGCUUCAUCAUAUAAAGCUUCUUUAGCUUUUUCUUCGUCGUACCAUCAAUGGAAGGCCAAUGUUUUCCCUGGCAUCGGAGUCGCAAAUCCAGCCCAGAGAUUCAUUGUCCCAGUCAUGAAGGAACCAGAGAAAGUAAUGGCAAUUAGAUCAAGACUCUUUGAGGCCAUUGAAGAAUCAGGGCUGUCAAUUAUUAUAUUUGCAAGAGAUUGUGCUUCUUUACCUUGGUGCUUUGAAGAACUUGUCAAGAUUGUCGGUUUCAUGGAUGAGAUGAGAUCGGACACUGUGUUUCCAGUUUCUUGUGAUGUUGAACAAUCAAAGAUAAAUGAUCAAACAGAGAGUUACACAAUUGUCUUUGAUAAGAUUGGAAAAAAUCUCAGGGAAAACAAGGAGAAGGUACAAAGAUGGAUGGAUAUUCUCAGUGAAGUUGAGAUUUCAUCUGGAUCGAAAAGGUAAUAAUUACUUCUUCUUAUUUGUGUGUGUUGCUCGACUUAUCAACCACUUCAAGUAAAUGAAACUAGGAAUGCUGAAAUAUCGACUUUCAGAACUUAAUGUUAACAAAUCUGUUUUUUUUUUUUGCAUGGGAAAAACAGUACACAAUGGGGUUACAAGUUUUUUUUUCAAGGUACAUUAUGAAUUUUAAAAAAAUUAAUAUUAAACUCAGUUGAGUUUAUGGUCUGAAUUAAAUUGACAUGUUGUACUGUGGAUGAUAUUGUUUACUUUAUUUUUUUUUAAGUUUGUUAAAAAUUCAAAGGGAGAAAAGUAUUGAACCGGUUGAGUGCAUAAUCCAGGUCACAAGUUUUUUUGAAUGGUUGAGUAUAAAUUUAAGAAAAAAAAAUUUCAACCCAGUUGAGGUUUUUUUAUAAAGAUUCAUUUUUUGAUGGUGUUGUGUAUUUUUAAUUUUUGAAUUUGUUUUUUUAAAGUUGAAUAUAAAUUUAAGUGAAAACAAUUAUUGAACCUCAUUGAAUUCAUGGUCCGGGUCACAUAUUUAAUUUUUUUAAGGUUUAAGGAAAAAAAUAUUGAACCCGGUUGACUUCAUGAACUGAGUUACGGGUCUUAAGAGUUAAGCCACAAUAACCGGACAAUUUUUUUUUCUAAUGUUGCUUUUUUUUACUGAUAUCUUUUUUUAUAUAUCUUUUUUAAGAUAAUUUUCAAUUUAUGUUUCAAUUAAUAUCCCUCAUCUGUGAUUUGUUUUGUUUAUUUAAUCUUUUUUUUAAUAUAAAUUAUUUUUUGAUGGUGUUGUAUGUAUUUGUUUUUAAAUGUUGAAUAUAAAUUUAAGAGAAAACAAUAUAGAGUCUGGUUGAGUUCAUGAUUUGGGUCACAUGUUUAACUUCUUUUUUUGUUAAAGGUUGAAUAUGAAUUUAAAGGGAAAUCAAUAUUGAAACAGGUUGAGUUCAUGCUCCGGAUCACGGAUUUAACGAGUUAAACCACAACAAUGAAACAAUGUUUAUUUUUCUGAUAUUGCUUUUUUUUACUGAUAUUUUUUAUAUAUCUUUUUUAAAAUAUUUUUUAAAUUUAUGUUUCAAUUAAUAUUCCUCAUCUGUCAUUAUUUUUUUGUUUAUUUAUUUAUUUUUGGAUAAAUAUUGUUUUUUAUGGUGUUGUUCGUAUUUAAUUUUUAAAAAACUUAUUAUGAUUCAUAAAUAAUUUUUUGAUCUUUUUGUAUAAAAGAACUUUAUUUUAAAAAAUAAAAAAAAUUAUUUUCAUCUAACAUAAUAUGUACAACAACCUUGCAUAAUAUUUUUUCUAUUUUUAUUUUAUUUAAUCAAUUUAAUACGUGUGUUUAUUUUUAAUAUCAUUUGAUUGAAUAAAAAAAUAAAUUUUAAAAAAUAAAUUCAAAAAAUAUAAUUGGGUAAAUGUUCCGUUUAUUAACACAUUUGAAUUUUUUAAUUUUAUUUUUUGUUAUUGUUAAUAUAUUUUUAUUAUUAGUAAUUCACAUAGUUAUCAAUGUACAUGUAUGUAUGAGCUUUUAAAUUUACAGUUUAAAUUUUUUUAUGUAUAAAAUUGCAUCGAAAAAACAUGCAUGCACAACUUUUUUGUAAGAGAAAAAAAUAUCUUGUCUGUAAAAGAGUGUCAUCUUAUAGUGGGCCAUAACAAAAUGCUACAAUUGGAUUGGCUUGACUUAGUAGUCCCAACAACACCUGACCUUUGCUUUUUCUUCUUUUUUUCCUUUUAUAUGUUUUUUUUUAAAUUAUAUUUAGAUUAACAUCCCUUCUUUUUUUUAUGUUAUUUAGAGAUCCUCUUUGAAAUGAUGGUUAAUUUUUAGUUAUGCAUUUAAUUUUUGAGAAAGUUUUUCUGAUUCAUUUAUAAUUUUUUUAAUUUUUUGUACAGAUGAACUUUAUUCUUGAAAAUAAAUUUUUUUAUUUUCAAAUAAUAUUUCUAAUAUGUGCAACCUUACAUAUUAUUUUUUUUCAUUUCAUUUUAUUCAAUCAAUUUGAUGUGUAUGUCUAUUUUUAUUAUCGUUUGAUUGAAUAAAAAACUUGUUUUAAUUAAUAAAUUUAGUAAAUAUAAUCGCGUAAAUAUCUCGUUUUUCAAAAUUAAAUAUCUUAAUCUACACUUGUUUAUCGAUUUUUCCACUUUUAUUUUUAGUUAUAGUUUAUAGUUGUUUUUUUUACUUAUUAACACACAUAAUUCUUGAUUUACUUAAUUAUAUUUAUGCAUAUUUUUUUCCACUUAAAAUUUUUUAAAUACAAAAACAUGUUGAUAAAAAUCUAUCAAUAAAUUUUUUAUUAAAAUUUUUUUUUAACACCCAACAAAACAUGUAACAUCGAUUCCAUGUGCAGUUUGACUAUACCUAAGCUGCAGCAGCUGCUCAAGCAGGAGGAGCAGCUGCUCGAUCAGCUGGGGCAGCUCAAGCAGCAGAUGCUUGAUCAGCAGGUGAUGCUGCAGUGGUGGAAGCAGCUCAAUAAGGAGCAACUGCUCGAGGAGGAGCAGCUGCUCAAGCAGCAGGAGCAGCAGGUGCAGCUCGAGCAGCAGGUGCUCGAUCAGCAGGUGCUCCAGCAGUGGCGGUGGCAGCUCGAUGAGCAGGUGCUCCGGCACCAGCUCGAUGAGCGGUGGCGGCAGAUGCUCCGGCACCAGCUCGAUGAGCGGCGGCUGCAGGUGCUCCGGCGGCGGCAGCAGGUGCUCUGGCUGCAGCAGGUGGGGUUGGGGCAGGUGCUCCAGCUGCAGCGGCAGCAGCUGUAGCAGGUGCAGCGGCGGCACCAGUUUGAUGAGCGGCGGCAGGUGCUCCAGCUGCAGUAGGUGCAGCGGCGGCAGGUGCAGCGGCAGCUUGGUAGUGUGUUAGACCGAGGCGCGUUGAGUCUGGCAUUGACCAGACCCAAUAGAUAAUUGAAUUUAACACCAUAAACACUCCCUAGUCAAAGGUUUGAGAUGGAAUAUUUGCAAUGGGAGAGGAAUUAGUGUUUGUGAUCGGAACAUCAAAGUUGGGUUGUUUGUGAGAGGAAUAUUGAAGUUUAAUUUAUAAUUAAUUUAAUGUCAAAGGAUGAAAUUAAAAAAAAUAUAAAUAAAAAAAUCCUAGGUCAACCCGCUAAAUUCGCAACACGAGUCAUAAAGCUAAAAUAAUUUUAUAAAAAAAAACAUCAACAAAUUAUAAAACUCAAUCUUUAAAAAAUAAAAUGUUGAAAGAUAAAAAAAAACAUGUAGAUUUUUUUUUAAAAAAUACCAUUGCAAAUUUUAACUUGGUAAGAUUUUAUGUUAAUAGUACUAUAUUAGAUGAGUCCAGCUCACCAUAAGCUACAUGGAUGAAUAUGAGUUAAUGGUGAGUCGAGCUUGUAUAAUAAUUUAUGGGUAACAAAAGUUGUGCCCAGUAUUUCUAUAAUACGACGAGGUUUAAUUUCUUUUCUUUUCAUGGUUAUCUCUCAGUGGAUAGCAGCAUCAAUCAUAAGAACUUCUAUAUUUAUAUUUAAUUUAAAUACUAAUUAAACGUGAUAAGAGUGGGAGUUAAAUAUAACGCUUCACAUCAAAUGCUCUUGAAAAAACCAAAAUCUACUUCUUUUCAUUCUGGUUGCAUUCGCUUUCACCCCUGACUAUGAACAGGAACCCCAAUUAAAUGAAAUGGAUUUCUUGGAAAUUGAUCUCCUUGGUCCACACUCCACAGCAGAUAUCCGUGGCCUGCAGGAACCCCAAUCAAAUGAAAUGGAUUUCCUGGAAAUUGAUCUCCUUGGUCCACAGCCUAUUCGGUUAAACCAAGUCGGCUACCACUUGCAGCACAAUUCAUCAAAAGACGAUGUGAAUUAUGAUUUGACGUCAAACCAGGUGGAUUAUCAGCUGCAGCCACAAUUAUUUGAUGCAUAGCAAAAUAAUUAUUCAGAAUCACAGUACCUUGGCAGUCCUUUCCAGCCAACUUGAUGUGUUGUGUGCUAAUCCGAUGAAAAUCAAGAUCCCAAAGAGGGUGAUGCAGCUGAUGGUUGGUUCUCUUCCUCCUUGUGAGUUUUUACAUAAUAAAAUAGCGGCCUUAAUUACGAGAGUUCUUCCAUUUUUACAUGAAAAAUGGCUGGGAUUUCCUUUCGUUAUUUAUUAAUCUCUAUCACGACCACAAAAUUACUAAACGCCGACCGAAUAUGAUACACAAGUGCACUAAUUUUUUUUGGUUUAUUAAAGAUUAUUGGAGUGCAUCUUCCUUGGAUAAUUGUAGACUUUAUUUUCCUAAUUAAUAAAAAAGAUUUUUAUCCAUUGUGGUUAUAUCAUAUUCUGGUAGCUUUAAUGCUUUAUAAAUAAAGUAUUGAUCAUAAGAACUCUAUCAACCUUACUUUUUCUUGUUGUCAAUUUCAAUGGCCAGUGAAUCUAACUACAACAUCCGAAGAACAUAUUGCUUUAGUCAUAAUCUGGUCAUAGAUGAUUUCCCCAUCACAAGCUAUAAGUGCCUCUAUAGAGAACCCUAAUCCCUUCUCCAUGCUUCUUGACAGCCUCUUAAAAAAGGUUCAAGCUUGGGACUAAUGGGUUUGUUUCCUCUGUGGUCUAAGGUUCGAGUCCUGUGGUUGCUCAUAUGAUGGCCACUGAAGGCUUACAUGGUCGUUAACUUCAGGGCCCGUAGGAUUAGUCGAGGUGUACGCAAACUGGCCCGGACACCCGCGCUAAUAAAAAAAAAAGGUUCAAGAUUAGUCAUUUCAAAUGAGAAAAAAAAAGAAGAAACAAUCAUAAAGAGCGAAUCUUGUGAAUAAAUUACCGUAUUUGGACGCAACGAAACCGAGAAAAAACUAAGGUAAAGUCUAGACAAGAGCGCGCGCAUAAACUAUUUAUUGAUGAGCUUGUUCGUAUCAACAUAAAUAAAUAUCAAAGUAAUCCAGGCAAACUUUUGCAGAUUACGAAGAAUCUAAGUCGACAAAAAAGCUUUCAAUCAAAGUGUAUAUAUAUUUGAUAUAGAUUCAGUUUAGUAAUAAUUGUUUUUUAAUAUUUUAUUUUUAUUUUUUUAAAAUUAAUUUUUAACAUCACAAGCAUAUAAAAACAAUAUAAAAGAUUGAAAAAUUACAGUAAACCAUAUAACUUUUUGAAAGAUUUUAUACACGAAACCCUUGCUUAAUGACCAUAUAACAAUAUAAAAUUAAUACAAUAUAAAAUUAAUACACUUGGACAGUACUUUUGCUACAGUUUUUUGGAUAGUUCAAACUCAUUUAAAGUAUUUUUAGUUGGAUGUUCAUAUAGGUGAAAACAGAAAGAUUACUGUUACCUGAAAAACAUGAAGUCGAGAUGAAGGUUUACAAGGUCAAAGACAGCGAUCAGACACUCAUAAAUGCAAUGAAUCAGCUUGUUUUGGACAUCCAUCAAUGCAAGAAAUGCCCGUUUUCAAGAACUCUAAGCAACUCCUGAAUCCAGAACAAAACCCUCAAAUAUCAGAUCUUUAUAUGUUUGAAUAUCUAAAAAGAAGAAAAAGCAAACAAAUUUUUUUCUAUUUUUUUAAAUUCAUCUUAAUCUUAUUUUUAUUUAUAUUUAGAUCAAUAUAUCUUCUCUCUUUUAUGUUAUUUAGAAAGCCUAUUUGAAAUGACAAUUAUUUUUUAAUUUUUUAGAAUGUUUUUCUGAUUAAUUUUUUUUUUAAUCUUUUGUAUAGAUGAACUUUAUUUUUUAAAAUAAAAAGAAAUUUAUUUUCAAAUAAUAUUUUUAAUAUAUGCAGCCUUGCAUACUAUUUUUUUUAUUCAAUCAAUUUAAUGUACAUGUCUAUUUUUAUUAUCGUUUGAUUAAAUAAAAAAAUUAUUUUAAUUAACAAAUUUAGCAAACUCAACCAUAUAAAUGUCAUGCAUGUCUUGUGAAAUUAAAUAUUUUGAUCUACACUUGUCUCUCGAUUUUUUCAGUUUUUAUUUUUACUCAUCGUUUAUGAUUUUUUUCACUUUUUAACACACAUAAUUCUCAGUGAGACCUUCAAAACAGAGAUGUUCAUAAUCUUCAUUUUUUAUUGCAUAUGUAAUUUCAGAGCAUUUCUCUCUAGAAUAUUAUUAUAUUGUUCUUUUUUUAAAAGAUACUUAUUUAAGCAUUAGAGAGUCCUCACCUUCACCAAAUAAGAUCUUUUGCUGGUACUAACCACAAACUAUCUUGUCCUACCAAACACCCAGUAUAAUCUAUCAGUCAUAUUGAGUAGGGAUAAUGAAUGAGAUUGUUAAGAUCAUUUAAUUAACUAAUUAUUUAACCUGGAAGUCUAUUUCUAAACUACUUGAAUUUUUUUGGACUUCAUCAUAAAACAUGUUCAUAGCAAAAAAAAAAAAAAAAACCCUGAUUCAGCAAAGCAAGUUAUAAGGGGUCUAUAUUUGCUUUCAUUAACUAAAAUAGCAAGAGCAACACAAUCCAUAUAUACAGAGUGUGUUCAUCCAAAUCAGUUGGAAAUUGAUGAUCCAAAUAACAGGAAGCAUUACAAACAACGCCCUGCAUGCCAUAGAGAUGAACAUUUUUUUUUCUAACCACCUGUAAAUCAAAGUGCACUAGGCUGACCAAUAAGAAACUGGGAACAACACGCAACCGCUAUUGAAUCCAAGCUCGUCUUUCCUCCUCUCCUUUUUCUUGGGUCAAAAAUCAUCACUACCUCUCCUUUUAAUCCCUGUUAAAAAAACCAAAACAACCUUCAAAAACAACCUUAUUUUCCAACAAACCAUAGACAAAACCUGCAGUGUUAAAUUUGAAGUCAAUUGUUUGGAAAGUUGUCGAGCAUCAAGAGCAGUAGAGCAACUACAAUGGAAGAGGUCAGUGGAAAGAGAAAACCAAAAAACUAUUAUUUUAGCUAUUAUUUUCAAUUUUAACAACUCUUAUGAUAUAUUUGAAUAGCUAAAAUACAUUUUCUUCUACUAAAAUAUUAUUUUUACAUAUUUACAUAUAAAAGCCAAAAACAAGGAGAAAGUAUAUACACCCUUUAGCCAACAUCUCUUUAUCUAUGGUUGGCUUUUGUUUCUCUCCUUAAAAACAGAACAAGAAGAAGAAAAGAAGCUUGCAAACCUCAAAACCUAAAAUUUUUAACAUUAUUAUAUAAAAUUGAAAAUUAAAAAUAUAAAUAUAAAUAAUUUUGAUUUUAAAAGUUUAAAAUUUAAACUUUAAAUUAUAUCUUUAAACUUUCAUAUUACUUCAUUAAUUUUAUAAAUUACUCAUAUUAAUUGUAUAAUUAAUAACAUGAUUGUAUUAUAUAAAAAAUAAUUAAACUAGUUAUAUAAUUAUAUUAAAAUAAGUUUAGUAUAAAAUAUAUUAAAAUAUAAUUAGCUUUUUUAAAUAGCUUUUUACCAUUGGAAUUGCACAUAAAAAAAGCUAUAUUUACAUCCAUUUUUCAAUUUAAUUUUUAACUUUUAAAAAUAGCAUGUCUUAUUGAAGUUGCUCUUAUGCAGAAUUACACGGGAGAGGAAGACAAAAGAAGUCCAAAAAUAUUUACUUUUUAAACAUAGAUGCUUGACUUGAGAAUUCAUUACAAAACAUAAAUCAACUCAAUUGUGAUGUGUGUGGCCCAACCCCUGCUCUACUGCACAAUGCGCGUUCGAUAUCCCUUUCAUUUCUUUCUCUACUUUUUCUCCACUGGAAGUCCAUCUUCUUUACAGUGUAAGAUCCGUAAGAAAAUCAUUGGAAACUUACCAAUACGAGUUCUUGACCUAAAGGAACCGGAAAAAAUUCGAAGUCAUUGGAAUAAAAAGAAAGUAGUGAGGGCUUUGGAAGUAUGUUACUAAGAUACCAGAAGAAGAAAAAAUAUUGAGCCUGGCUGGAUGUUGUGCCUCUUUAGCCAACACUUACCACACGGUUUGUUUCGUCUAGAUUCGUGUAAUACUUGUAGAAAUGUGGUGUUUUCUGAUUUAUAAGUAGAAUUUUACAUGUUCCAGCUUGAAAUUGCUAUUUGGUAGAUUUAAUUGCCAUAUUUCUUGAUCUUACCUUCUGUUUCGUGUUUGAUCACAAGAGCAGGCCUUACACAAAAUAGCGUGGAAAGCAAUUUCUGAACCAAGCUAGCUAGUUGAGGCUAGAAGGAUCGGUACUAAUUUAUCGCUAUAGGGAUUUUCAUGGCUUCCACCAGCGUGCAAGGAAUGACCUCAUCUUCAUCUUCUCCUCCUCCACUAUAUAUGCAUGAUGUGUUCCUUAGUUUUAGAGGCAAAGAAACCCGGAACAACUUUACUAGUCAUCUAUAUUCUAAUCUGAAACAGAGAGGCAUCGAUGUAUACAUGGAUGAUAGGGAGCUCGAGAGAGGAAAGGCCAUCGAACCUGCUCUCUGGAAGGCCAUCGAAGAAUCAAGGAUUUCAGUCGUUAUAUUUUCUAGAGAUUACGCUUCUUCACCAUGGUGCCUGGAUGAACUUGUCAAGAUUGUUCAGUGCAUGAAAGAGAUGGGGCACACUGUUCUGCCAGUUUUUUAUGAUGUGGAUCCCUCAGAUGUAGCCGAGCGGAAACGGAAAUAUGAGAAAGCCUUCGUUGAGCAUGAACAAAAUUUCAAGGAAAAUUUGGAGAAGGUCCGUGUUGGGUAAUUCCAGAAAUCAAACACACAUAAAUUUACGUGGUUCGGCAACUUGCCUACUCCACGGAACUACUGGUUUGUAUUAAUCAAUCAAAGAAACAAUACAAACAAGGAGGAGGAGAACACUCUUCUCAACUCAACUCUACUCACUCAAGCUCUCUCUACUGCUCUCUGUUCUGCCGCACGCCCUCAGCUCUUCAAUAUGUCUAUUUAUAGACUAAGCUGGGAACAAGAGAUUAUGGCCACCAUGAACUUCCACUUUGUGCUAAGUGGGAUGAGUUGUUCCCACCAUGUGCUUCCACUUUAUGCUAAGUGGGAGAUGAGUUGUUCCCACUAGCAUAAAGUGGAGGUGGGGCAUUGUUUGUCUCCAUUAUUCUAACAAUCUCCCACUUGGAGACAAACAAUGAAAUUAUCUUUUAUCCUUGAAGACUAACUGAAGUUUUACACAACUUCAGUUUAUCAAGUGUAACUCCUUUGGUUAACAUGUCAGCUGGAUUCUUGCUUCCACAGACCUUUUCUAGCAUCAGUUGUUCAUCGUCUAGCAAUUGUCGGAUGAAGUGAUAUUUGAUCUGAAUAUGCUUAGUCCUGGAGUGAAAUGCUGGAUUCUUGACAAGGAAGAUUGCACUCUGACUGUCGCUAUACAGAGUUCCCUUUCCAUUCAUCUUGCCCAAUUCUUUUAGGAAACUCUGUAGCCAUACUAUCUCCUUUGCAGAUUCUGAAACUGCAACAUAUUCAGCUUCUGUUGUUGAAAGAGCGACGAUCUUUUGCAAGGUAGAACUCUAGGAAACAACAAUACCUCCUAGAGUAUAUACAUAUCUUGUAGUUCUCUUUCUGCUAUCAACAUCUCCUGCUAGAUCAGCGUCUACAAAACCUUCAAGUUUCAAACCACCAGCUAUGAAACUGAGACAAGUUUUCGAGGAACCUUUUAAGUAUCUCAUGAUCCAUUUUACCGCCUCCCAAUGCUGCUUUCCAGGAUUGCUCAUAUAUCGGCUUACAACUCCCACUGCAUGGCCAAUGUCUGGUCUGGUACAGACCAUAGCAUACAUCAAAGAGCCAAUAGCUGAGGCGUAUGGAAUCUUAUCCAUAUGUUCACAUUCUAGCUCAGUUUUUGGUGACUGGUCUUUGCUGAGCUUGAAAUGAUUCCCCAGAGGUAUACUUACUAGUUUAGCAUUAUCCAUACUAAACCUGCUGAGAACCUUCUUGACAUACUCUGUUUGUGAAAGCUUUAGUAUGCCUUUGUCUUUAUCUCUGAUGAUUCUCAUGCCAAGUAUUUGUUUAGCAGCUCCCAGAUCCUUCAUUUCAAACUGUUUUGACAAUUGUUGUUUCAGCUUGUCAAUCUCCUCAAUGCUGGAUCCUGCAAUCAACAUAUCAUCUACAUACAUUAGUAGAAUGAUGUAGGAGUUGUCAAAAUAUUUGACAUAGCAACAAUGAUCAGCUUGACAUCUUGUGUACCCCGAACUGCACAUGAAGUUGUCAAACUUCUUGUACCACUGUCUUGGAGCUUGCUUCAAACCGUAUAGGCUUUUCUUUAGCUUGCAGACUUGGUUCUCCUUUCCUUGUAUUGCAAACCCCUCUGGUUGUUGCAUGUAAAUGUCUUCCUCCAAGUCACCAUGAAGAAAUGCUGUUUUUACAUCUAAUUGUUCAAGAUGUAAAUUUUCUGCAGCUACUAUCCCCAAAACAACUCUGAUUGUUAUGUGCUUCACAACUGGAGAAAAUAUCUCAGAGUAGUCAAUCCUUUUCUUCUGUUGAAACCCUUUUAUAACAAGUCUUGCCUUGAACCGUUUGCUUCCGUCAUGCUCAGUCUUUCCUCUGUAAACACACUUGUUUUGCAAAGCCUUCUUUCCUUCAGGUAGUGUGGUUAGAUCCCAAGUCUUGUUCUUCAACAACGAAUCCAUCUCAUCCUUCAUGGCUAACUCCCACUUGCUUGAGUUUCCAUCUUGUAAAGAUUCUUCAUAAGUUUGCGAUUCACCACCAUCUGUCAGCAAAAUAUAAUUCAGUAGAAGUGUGAAUCGUUGUGGGGGCUUCACAGUCCUUGAAGACCUGCGAACAUAAACAAUGGGUUCACUUGGCUCCGCAUCUUCCUGUGUAGUAGUGGGUACAGAUGUGCUUGAAUCUUCUUGCAAAGGCUCUUGAUUUUUGUUCUGCUCAGUAACAUCAGGAAGCCCUUCUAAUCUUAUGAAUUUAGAUUUUUGUGGACUUGUAUCUGAAUCAGCCAUAUCUGUUUCUACACUUGAUCUGUCUUUGUACAAAACUUUAUCAUUUAAGAUCACGUUCCUGCUUCUGAUAAUCUUUCUAUUCUGAUCAUCCAAGAACCGAAACCCAAAUUCUUCAUCUCCAUAGCCAAUGAAGAAACAUUUCUUGGAUUUGGCAUCUAGCUUGUUGCGAGCAUUAAAAUCUAUGUGAACAUAGGAAACACACCCAAAGACCUUGAGAUGAGAGAGUUUUACCUCUUUUCCUCUCCAUACAUCCUCAGGCAAUCUGAAUUCCAAAGGAACUGAUGGACCACGGUUGAUUAAGUAAACUGCAGUAUGAACUGCAUCAGCCCAGAAUGUUUGAGGUAACCCUGAAUGCAACCUCAUGCUUCUGGCUCGUUCAUUGAUGGUCCUGUUCAUCCAUUCAGCAAUGCCAUUCUGUUGUGGUGUGUCUGGAACGGUCUUUUCCAUUCUGAUACCAUUGACAGCGCAAUAUUCUUUAAAACCUCCAUCAAUGUAUUCUCCUCCAUUAUCAGAUCUUAAGCAUUUCAACUUCAGACCUGAUUCAGUCUCAACCAUAGCCUUCCAUUUCUUGAAUGUUUCAAACACAUCAGAUUUAUUUUUUAGAAAGUAGACCCAUACCUUCCUGCUGAAAUCGUCAAUAAAGGUCACAUAAUACCGAGAACCUCCAAGAGAUGCCACUGGAGAAGGUCCCCAUAAAUCUGUGUGUACUAGCUCUAGCUUUCUUGGUCUUAAGGUCUUGCCAACCUUUAAGAAACUAAGCUUCUUUUGUUUUCCAAGAAUGCAACUUUCACAAAUGUCUAGAUCAAUAUUUUUUAACUCUGGCAACUUUCCCUUCGACUGAAGUAUCUUCAUCCCCUUUUGACUCAUAUGGCCGAGUCUACAGUGCCAUAGAUGUGCCUGAUUUUCUGGUUUAGUAGAGGCAAUAAUGUCUGCAAAUCUUGUGGUCAUAUAUAAGGUGCCGAUUUUCUUUCCACGAGCCAAAACCAUUGCUCCCUUCGAUACAUUCCACAUACCUCCAGAAAAAAGGAUUGAAUGACCACUAUCGUCAAGUUGUCCGAUGAAGAUCAACUUCUUCUUUAAUCCAGGAACAUGCCUUACAUUUUGCAAGUUCCAUAUAGAUCCAUUCAUUGUCUUGAUUUGCACAUCUCCUAUACACACAAUAUCCAUUGGUUGUCCAUCGGCCAGAUAGAUUACACCAUGAUCUCCAGCAACAUAGUUUUGCAUCAUUUCAUGGUGUGGUGUACAGUGGAAUGAAGCACCAGAAUCAAGAAUCCAAUCAUCAAUUGAACUUUGUACAGCAAGAAUCAAAGCAUCUUAUACCUCAUCUGUGGUAGCGUUUGCAAAGUCAGCUUCAGGUUUUUUCAGUUUUGUGCAACUCCUCAUGAAAUGACCAGGUUUGCCACAAUUCCAACAUUCAACCUGCUUUCUGGGUCCAAACUUGCUUUUACUUCUGUAUCUGGAUUUUGAUUUGCCUCUGGAUAAGCCUCUAUCCUGUCUCCUCCCUCGAGUGUUGAUGUUGAGAGCUAGCCUGAACCUGAACUUUCAUCUGAGUCUUUCCUUCUCACUUCUUCGGCCAAAAUCAGGUCUCGGAUGUCAUCAUAUUUCAGUUUGGAUUUUCCAGCUGAGUUACUCACGGCUGUUCUCAUACCUUCCCAACUGCUUGGAAGUGAAGCUAGCAAAAUGAGUGCACGAAUCUCAUCAUCAAACUCAAUCUCAAUAGAUGACAAUUGAUUUGUGAUGGUAUUGAAGUUGUUGAGAUGUUGUGUAACAGAGGUGCCUUCUAUCAUCUUUAAGUUGAACAACUUUUUCAUCAGGUGCACUUUAUUAUUUGCUGAUGGCUUCUCAUACAUCCCAGACAAGGCUUCCAUUAAUCUUGCAAUGGAUCUUUCUUUUGUAACGUUGUGAGCAACUCUUCUUGAUAAGGAUAGCCGGAUAAUGCCCAAAACUUAUCUAUCAAGAAGUAGCCAUUCUUCUUCUUGCAUAUUCUCUGGUUUGCUCCCCAACAAAGGAAGAUGAAGUUUCUUCCCAUAUAGAUAGUCUUCGAUUUGCAUUUUCCAAUAUCCAAAAUCUGUCCCAUCAAAUUUUUCAAUUCCAGCAGCCUUUAUUUCAUCUACCAUUUUUAAUAAUUUUAAAUUUGAAUCUGCUGAAUCUGAUCUUACGGAUGUGUCCGGAAUGGCCAAAAAUGUUGGAAACAACUCUGAAAUCACCCAGAUCGGACUUUGAUGGCUCAGAUCUUAUCAAUCAAACUUUUGGAUCAAUGACGAUGCAGAUGAAGCCGCGUGUCAGAUGAAAUAGUGUCUGCGGCGCACCGGAUCAAACCUCAACAUGAUGAUGUGGCAUAGAUGACGUGUCAGACACAUAAGCAAACUGGGCCCACCAUAGAUGACAUGUCUCAGCCAUGUGGGUUUAUUGCUGACGUGGCAUUAGCUGACGUGGAUGAUGACUGGUCCAAUGACAUGUCUGCUGACUGUGCGGGAUUGCUGAUGUGUCUACUGACUGGCUGAUGACGUGGCGGGUCAACCUGGUUCGGUUGCAGGAAUUCUAGCGAAGAAGGAGCGUGUGGUGCGUGUGGCGCGUGGGCAAUCCUGACGUAGGCGCGUGUUGGCGCGUUAGGGCAUGCAGAACAUUGGUUCUUCGCUGGGUUUUCACCAGUGGAUUUGUCUUGUCUUCCCCUACACGAUGGUAUGUUUAAAAACACAUUUUGAGAACUUUUAUUUCUGGGUUUGGAUCAAACACCCUUUUUUUUCAAGAACAAGCUCUGAUACCAGUUGUUGGGUAAUUCCAAAAAUUAAACACACACACAAAUUUACGUGGUUCGGCAACUUGCCUACUCCACGGAGCUACUGGUUUGUAUUAAUCAAUUAAAGAAACAAUACAAACAAGAAGGAGGAGAAAACUCUUCUCAACUCAACUCUACUCACUCAAGCUCUCUCUACUGCUCUCUGUUCUGCCGCACGCCCUCAGCUCUUCAAUGUGUCUAUUUAUAGACUAAGCUGGGAACAAGAGAUCAUGGCCACCAUGAACUUCCACUUUGUGCUAAGUGGGAUGAGUUGUUCCCACCAUAUGCUUCCACUUUAUGCUAAGUGGAGAUGAGUUGUUCCCAUUAGCAUAAAGUGGAGGUGGAGCAUUGUUUGUCUCCAUUAUUCUAACAGUCCGGAACUGGAAAGAUUGUCUCUGUACAGUGGCCAAUCUAUCAGGCUGGGACGUGCGGCAUAGGUAAAUCAUCCAUCCACUUUUAUUCUCAAAUCCACCCUGUAUGGUUUCAAUGAUGAACAUAGCUUCUUUCUUUUAAUGUUUUUCAAUUGAAACAUGUGAUUAAAUAUCAAAAUAAUCACAAUUAAACAAGUAUAUCAAAACUAAUUCUUGAAUAAAUAAUUGUUAGUAGAUAAUUUUGAUCCAUUAAAUAGCUAUUCCUAGCUUUUGUUCUUGUGUGCAUGAUUCUUUAGUAACUGUGUGAUUUCUAUAGGCAAUAAGAUAGCUAUUGUAAGGAUCAUUCUUAGCAUCAAUACAAUCCUAGUUCCGUUUUCAGUUUAUUCUUUCCUUCUUUCCUUUUCCUCUCUGUUCUUGAAGCUAUCUAUUGUCAAGCCCUAUCUUUCUCAAAGAUUGAUUUAUUAAAGCCAUACAUUUUCGAGCUAAUAUUUAUUUUCCCAUUAUUACUAUCUGAUUUGAUUUGCACACAGCAUGAUUAAUGUUUUCCACCACCAUAUGCAGGAAUGAGUCGGAAUCAAUUAAAAUAAUUGCUGAAUACAUAUCGUACAAACUAAGUGUCACUCUGCCAACAAUUAGCAAAAAAUUAGUUGGAAUAGAUUCUCUUCUAGAGGUAUUAAAUGGCUAUAUAGGUGAAGAAGUAGGCAAAGCAAUCUUCAUAGGGAUAUGUGGAAUGGGUGGCAUAGGUAAGACGACUGUUGCAAGGGUAGUAUAUGAUAGGAUUCGUUAGCAAUUUGAAGGCAGCUGCUUCUUAGAAAAUGUCAGAGAAGAUUUUGCUAAGAAAGAUGGACCACGUCGUUUGCAGGAACAACUUCUUUCUGAAAUCUUAAUGGAACGUGCUUCUGUAUGGGAUUCUUAUAGAGGGAUUGAGAUGAUAAAGAGGAGGUCACGACUUAAAAAGAUUCUUCUUCUCCUUGAUGAUGUAGAUGACAAAGAACAGCUAAAAUUCUUGGCUGANNNNNNNNNNNNNNNNNNNNNNNNNNNNNNNNNNNNNNNNNNNNNNNNNNNNNNNNNNNNNNNNNNNNNNNNNNNNNNNNNNNNNNNNNNNNNNNNNNNNAGGGAGCAGAAUUAUGAUAACAAGCAGAGAUAAACAAGUGUUGACUAGAAAUGGUGUUGCUAGAAUUUACGAGGCUGAGAAAUUGAAUGAUGAUGAUGCUCUUACGUUGUUUAGCCAGAAAUAGGUUUUUCCAGCUACUAAUUCUAUAAAUAUAAUGAAAACAGAAAUGAGAAACUCGUCAGUUUUUCUAUUGAUGUAGAACGAGGAAGAAGACGAGGGAGAGAAUAGAUGAAGAAUAGAAAGGUGACGUAUAAAGGAAUUGGGGGGGGGGGGCUUUUAAAUGGAUAUGGGUAAUAUUAUUUAUAUUAAUAAAGUAAUAUAAAAAAAGAGGAUAAAGAGUUACAUCCUAAUAAUAAAAAUCAAAUAUCAUAACUCUUCAUUCUUAUAAAUAAAUAUGUCUGUUAUACAAUAAUAAACACUAAGAAAAAAUAUUGAAAAGAAAAAUGGAUUCUCAAAAAAAAAAAUCUAUUUUAAUUUUCAGAAGAAUUGUUAAAUAAAGUAGGCUUAUUGAGUAAUGUGAUGUGAUAGUAAUUAUUUUUAAAUUUUUUUAUUUGAAAAUACAUUUAAAAAAUAUUUUUAAAAUGUAAAAACAAUAGUAUUAAUUGUUAAAUUAUGUGCAGACAUUAUAUAUAUAUAUAUAUAUAUAUAUAUAUAUAUAUAUAUAUUAUUGCUUAUGUGUAUUUAUUGUUGUGCAAUUCUUUGCUCCUCUGUCUGUCUUGUUGAAACAAACUAAAAAGAAAAAUAAUGUGCCAGUUAGAAAUUGAACGUUGAACACCCACUUGGUGAGAUUGUCUGAAACUUAAAUAGUAAAAAUGUGAUGGCCUCAUUCACCACUGGGCUGUUGCUCAAGUUUUGUCAUGCAUACAAUAUAAAUAAUAAUCAAACCUAAGACCUUAAGAAGGAAGAGAUUGCUGGCUGCGUACUGCAUUUUAGGGGUGUUCAAAAAAACCGAUUAACCGAAAAAACCGAAGAAAAAUUAACCGAAAAAACCGAACCGAGAUAAAAAACCAAUUAAACCGAUUUUUAAAAUCAUAAAUUCUAAUAGGUCCGGUUCGGUUUCGGUUUUAAAACUGAAACCAACAAACCGAACCAGACCAACCAAAAACCCAAAGCUAUACAAAUUAAGAGGGGUAUAAAUAGUUAAAUACUGAAACCUAACCCUAAAAGCCGUCGCUUGACCCCUGAGAAUAUUUAUGUCAAUCUUCCUUUCCCUUUCAAAUUUCAAUUGCUCUGCCUCCUCCAUCUCUAAAGUGAUUCUCAUCUCUUCAUCUACGUUUAUCUCCAUCUCAAAAGUGAGCCAAACACAAACUCAUCUCCUUAACUUCUCUUCUCUUUACUUUUGCACAAUCCUUCUUUAUUUCUGCUUAAGUUGUUGCAGUUACAGUAGAAGGAGAUGGAUCCUGUAGAGAAAAGAUAACAAGGUAAUUUUUUACCCAGUACUUGGUGUUUGCCCAGGGAUCCAAGGUAUAUCAACAGGAAACAAUGAUUAAUGACCGAAGUUGAAUUUAUAGCUUUUGUUAUUUACUGCAACAAAGACGGAUCUAUUACAAAAUCCUCUGAAUGGUUAGCUAAACUGCAUUGUUCCUCGCUUGUCAGCUCAAGAUUGUAAUAACUGGAAAUAUAAAAUUCCAAACAAGGAAAAAUUAGUGUUUGAUCUGUGAAGGGAUUCGGUUUUCUGGUUUUUUGCCAAAAAAACCAGAUUUAACCGAACCGAACCGGUUCGGGUGAUAUUUCAUAAAAUUAAUAUAACUCGGUUCGGUUGGUUUUUUUAGUCUAAACCAAACUGAACCGAACCGUGAACACCCCUACUGCAUUUAGUUGUGUAGUGGAUGUAUACAUUAAUAAUAUAUUUAGAAACAAAGGGUAUAAUUCUGCGUUGGAGAUUUAUAUUAAUGAUUUGGGCUAAUUGUUGUGCAUUUUAUUUUCAUGUGCAAUUCUAUAUUAAUGAUAUGUGCAUUGAUUAGUUAUGAUAAAUUAAUUUAUAUAUGUUAUGACUACAAAUUUAUUAUUCACAUAUGUUUAUAUAUAUGUAUACAUGUUUUCCAAACACAGUGUAAUUCCAUGUUUAACCUAGUAGAAUUGUGAAUUUAUUGAAUUCUUAAAAUAUAUGUUAUUUUAAAUAUAUGAUCCUUACGUUAUUAAUUAUGAUAUUAAUAAUAUGAUUAUGAAAAUAGUGAGCUUUCGAUUUUUGAUUUUAAAUAUGAUAUCAAAUCAUUGUUGGCAUAAUUAAUUGAUAUUAAGGAUAUGUAUAUAUGUUUUAGUCAUCAAUUAAAUGUGAAUAUGUGACUAAUAAAAUAUUUUUUUAUGUGAAAAAAAUAAGAAAUGACUAUUGCUGCCAAGAAUAUUGUGGCCGAGCUUAAUAUGAUCUUCUUAAGCCAACAAACCUAAAAUUAAUAUAUUCAUUGCUGUUGCACUUUAGGUCGUGGCGAAGAGACUUGUUUCUUUCUUCUGCAUCCGGGUUCGAUCUUCUCUGUGCAUGCCUGUAACCCCCGCGGUGUCUUACAUGUUCACUGGGCUUGCAGGAUAUUCAGUAGGUCCGAGGAUUAGUUGUGGUGCGCGUAAGCGUAAGCAUCAAAGUGAAUCUCAAUAUAAGCAAGGUAAAGAGAAAUCCAUGGAAAAGGAAAACAUUCUUUUAAGAAGAAAAGGAACAAUCACCAAGAGGUUCCUCUGGUCCACAAAGGGAUUUGAGUUUUGGACAUCUGCUGAUCUCAAGUUGCUUUAACUGGGGGAAAAUAUUUAGUGGGAAGAACUCAGGGGACAACAAGUAAUGCCAAUUUUUUUAAAAGUAGUGCAAGCAUAACCCCACUCUUCAAUUUCCUGACAUAUAAAAUUGAUGAUGGCAUGGAAUGAAUCGACUGUGAGACUUUGCGAGUCAGAAAACAAUUUCUCUAACUGCAACUUAUGAAAAUCAUUAGCCAACAUUAUUUUAUUAAUGCGUGCAGGAGACCAUCCAAAAGGUGGACCCAUAAGCUUACAUUUUGCAAUCUCAAGCUCCACUAAAGAAGGAAGGUCGCUGGGCAGUGUUGUUAGGCUCGAACACUUUUUUAUGCAAAGCACUUGAAGGCUUGGGAAAGCUCUGCCUUUAGAUUUCCAUUCACGCACUUACCAAAAAAAAAAGAUUUCCAUUCACGCCAUUGCAACAUCCUCUCAAAAGUUAGGCUUUCAAGGGAUUGGGAUGGGUUUCCUACGGUCGUGGGACUUCCAUAGAACUCAUAACCAACAGACUUUAAAUUAUAGAAGUCUUCAAUCAAGAGCCUUUUUAGAGUUUCUAACUGACCAAGAGAUGGUAAAGAAACACAUUAUUUACAUCCACUAAGCCUCAGAUCGACCAUAUUUUUGAAAGAAGUGUGUCCUAUCCAUCCUGGAAGUUUUUUACCUCUUUAACAAAUUAUAGAAAGAGUUUCCACUUUUGCACUAAGCCACAAUGCUUCAAGUACAUCUUCUUCUGUUAAAGAAUCAUCAGUAUCCCUCAUGUCACCCCAUCUUAACUCUAAUUCUUAAGAUCCUUGCCCUUCAAAUUGGCUUCAGAAGCAUUUAGACCAUGAAAAGCUCAAGCUUUACUAAAGAUAAUGCUCUUUAUAGUCCUAUCUCUUUCAUUCGAGUGCGCUUUCUAUCCCUUGUAUACUAGAUAAUACGCUUUCUAGUUAUAUUUAUGUUUCUUUCGAGUAUGUUUUUUAGUCCUCAUUUAUUAGAAAGUGUGCUUAAUAGUCAUAUCUCUUUUCUUUCAAUUGUGUUUUGUAGCCCUUAUAUACUAGAUAAUGCACUUUAUAGUAAUAUUCAUUUUUCUUUUGAGUGCGCUUUUUAGCCCUUGUAUACUAGAUAAUGUGCUUUUGAGCUCAAUCCAUCUUCCUUUUAAGUGCGCUUUCUAUCCCUCAUCCAUUAGAUAGUGCACCUUUUAACCUUAUCUUUUUUCCUUUCGAGUGCGCUUUCUAGCCCUCAUCCAUCAGAUAAUACACUUUCAAGUCCUAUCCUUUUCUUUUUAGUACGCUUUUUAGUCAUAUCAUUUUCUUCCCAAGUGCGCUUUAGAAAUCUCAAUUCUAACACUCUUGGAAAGAUUAACUAUUUUGUUAACUGUAAAUCUAUGAUGUUGUGUCUUUUCUUAUUUACAACUUACUAUUUAAAGUCUCUUAUAAAAUUUUUUGUCAUAGGCAUUAUAAAGAUGAAGCAACUGUUAUAACCUAAUUUUGGGAUCCCCCCAAAUUACAAGUUUUUUAAAUGAAAAGCAAUAAAAAAAUUGAAAAUGAAAAAGACUGAUAAAUUAAAAAAAAAAAAAACAAGUUGAGAAGGGUUUCAAAUGCAUGGAGGAACCAAGCUGGAGUUUUAGACAAAAUUGGAAUCCUAAUUGUACCUAUUUGUACCCAAGAUCAAUAAAGGGCAAAUUAAAUUAUUAUUGGAUUAAUUUGUAUUUUAAUAGGUCAACUUGAGUUAAUCAUGACCCUACUUAAAGGUUUUAUUAAGUUUAAAAAUUAAUUUGGGUCAAAUUAAGAGAAAUAAUUAAGUGUAAGGACUUAAUUAGACUUUUAAUAGGUUAAAGUUAUUUUUAUUAGGAAUUUAAUUGGUGAAAAAUUAAGUUUGAAAGCUUAAUUUGGGCUUAAUUGAGAAUAUUGAAAUUUUAGAUGAUCAAAUUUAUUAUUUUUAAGCUUAAUUGUUUGAAUUCAGGGAUAUAAUUGCAAGAAAAUCAAAGUUUAGUGGUCCAUCAAGGGUCAAAUUAAAGAAAUUCAAGACUAAGAAUCUUUAUGCAAAGGAGCAAAAAUUUAGGUCUCAAAUUCGGUUGAAAACAAGGAUGAAAUUCAAAAAAUUAAAAGUUUGAAAUUCAAUUAAAAAUAAAAUCAAAGAACCUUUAUGUAAAAGCAACGUGUUUUUCGAAGCCAUCUCUCCCCUCCACAUCCCUCACACCAUGACACUAAACAUACCUCUCUUGUGACCUGCUACUGUACCCCCAUCAAGAGCAGAAAAACAAGUCCUUUGGCAGUACUAAGAACACUGCCAAUCCGGCUUUUGUGGCUUUGUUUGGACAUGAGAAGCGUAGGCCAACACGUCCCUCACCCUCUAUAAAUGCCAACCUCAUGGCAACCAUAUGGCAGGGGGGAUAAAAAAAAGAAAAAAGAAGAUCAAACACUACACCAACACUAAACCCUCUCUACACCGACGACCUCACAAAAAUCAAACAACCUCAAUCCCUGUCCCAAAGAACAACAACUAGAGACCAUUGAAAGAGCAAUCACAGCAACAUUUGUUUUUCUCUCCUAGCCUUCAUUCCUCCAUCGAUACUCUCUUGUGCACCAGCAACAGCCUUGACAGAUCAAAAUUCAUUUUGUUAUGUUCCAAUUCGUGAGUUUGAGAGAGAAAGAAGAAAGUCACUUAAUAUUGGGUGAGGAGAGAGAAAGAGAUAGAUUGCCACAAUUCGAUAAUAAAAAAAUUGAUUUGGUUCCACUUGCCGAGAGUGGAAUUUCAUUGUGGUUUCACACCUUUUAUCUUAUCAGACAAAUAUAGAUCGAAGCUUGUAAUUUUUUUUUGAAUUGGAUGAUUUCUUAGUUUUUUUACCGGUUAAAAGUUGAUUUGAUGUUCGAUUUGAAUUUAUUGAGAAGUGUGGAGGUAUUUAUUAGGUGUUUUUAAGUGAAAAAUAACAAAAAAAAUAUAUUUGAGUUUAAGAGAAUGAAACCUAACUUUUAGAUCACCUAAUUUAGCCGGAAAGGUUACCAAUUUAUCUUUUCACAAUACAAGAUUAUAUAUUUUAAAUUGCAUUUAUCUUCUAAUUUUUUGAUUUAAUAUUUAAUUACUAUCACAACUCUUUUAAAUAAUUAUCACUGCACAUUAUUAUCAAUUUAUUUUAUUAAAUACACAUGUUAAAUUUUUAAUUCAUAGUUAGUUUUCUUAUAUGUUAAAAAAAACACUAACAGCCCCUAUCUUUUUUUUACUACAAAAAAUAAUGUUUGAUUCACUCGUUAUGAAGUUGCUAGUUAAGUUAUCAUGCAUUGAAGAGGUUGAGUUUUAGAGGUGAGUAUGAUAGGUAAUAAUAUAUAUGCCUUUUGUUUUGAAACUUUAAUUUCAAUUUAAAACUAUUUAAAGUGGAUUAGAAUUGAUUUUGAAGUUAAAAAUGGGUUUAUAUAAACUAUUAGGAUGGGUUUGAGAUUCUUAAGCUGAAAAUGAUUGAAAAUGGCAUUUUUGAUACCCAUGGAUGGUGGCUCUCGAUUUUCUAGCUAUCGAAGCGUCGCUUAGAAAACAUAGCAGGAAUCAUACCCACAGUAUAGCUCGGAUGCAUUGGCUGAUUGAUCAAGAAAGGGUUCUACGAAACUACAAAAUUAACCAUUGCCACUCAUCUUCUAGAGUGAAGGAACCCUUCUCCAGAUCUGGUCAUAGUUUUUUGGAUAAUUCAAACUCAUUUUUUUGGAUAACAAAAAGAUUGCUGUUACCUGAAAAAAUGAAGUCGAAUGAAGGUUUACAAGGUCAAAGACAGCGAUCAAACACUCAUAAAUGCAAUGAAUCAGCUUGUCUUGGACUUCCCACAGAUACACCUGUUUUCUACCACACUUAUUUUGGGACUCAUUAUAUCUGAAAAUGUCUUCAGCAAAGCAUAUUCUCCUUCUUCUUCAUUUUUUAAUCUUUUGAUAUGCAUAUUAAUUCAACAUUACAUAAGGGCUAAGGCUUUUGUGAAUAAGGGGCUAUUCACACAAAAGAAUAAAAAGCCAUGAACAAAUGUGCAGCAGACAUCCAUCAAUGCAAGAAAUGCCCAUUUUCAAGAACUCUAAGCAACUCCUAAAUCCAGAACAAAACCCUCAAAUAUCAAAUCUUUAUAUGUUUGAAUAUCUAAAAAGAAGAAAAAGCAACCAAAUCUUUAUAUGAACUUGACAUCCAUCAAUGCAACAGCGUCACCGUUUUAUCCGGGAGCACGAGCACUUGUCUGAGCAGCAUCUGCUUGAGCUGCCGCCUGAGCAGCUAAUAAUCUGAUCAAUCAAUACUAACUACAAACGUAGUCAAAUUGUAUCCUAUUUGAUGUUAUUUUCGAUGCAACUGUCAGUCCGCUAAACAAUAUUUGCUUGAUCUUGCACAACCAACAUACAUACAUGAAGAAAAGAAGUAUUCUUUUUCCAUUCCAAUAGCCAAAAAAAAAAAAAAAGGCAAUCACAUUUCCAUGUUCUUCAAAGCUAUUUGUUAUGCAACUUCCUCACCAACUGUUAACACUCAUUAAUCUCUAACAGCAGUAGACAUAUAUGAAGAAGAAAUCAACAAUAUUCAUCCCACUUUAACACCCCAAAAAAGGUGGGUUAGAAAUCACCCCACCCACCUUCACUAACUUUCCUUACCUUUUGAUAGCCAACAAUACAACGCGAAGAAAAUAAGUGUUCUUUUCCCAUUUUCAAAGCUAAAAAAAAAAAAAAAAAGAGUAAAUGAAGAAGUAUGGUGUGUGGUAUCUGAGUUUAUCCUAUGUCGGGUUCUAUCAAAAGCUGGUUUUUGCUUGGUGAGACCAGGUGUAUUUAUACAUUAACUUCAAAUUUUUUUAUGAAGAAGAAAAUCAUGUCAUUAGCUAACCAAGAUGGCUCGUUAAAGCGAGCUUGGGUUUUGUGCCUAGCUUGAUGAAGCAGCUUGGAAGAGAUCGAAGUUGGUGUGCCAGUGUAACAGGGUAUUUACACACCAACUUAAAACUUCAUUUGCUUUUUUAAAAAAAAAAAUCUUUAGUUAAUAAUAAAUCUCACAAUUAUUAAUUAUUGGUUAUAUAUACUUUUUUACUAUGUAUCAUAUUGGUGCCCACCAGUGCAGUUUCAUCCCUCAGCAGGGUCUGGAUCCAGCAGACCAGCAAAGACAGCAGCUUGUUCUUUAGUCUUGCCAUCAGCAAUGUGAGCAACAGCUUCGUCAGUUAAGCCGGCACUAAAAUCAUGGGAUGUUUUUUAAAUGGAAAGAGUGAAAUUAAAUUGAUUUUUAGAAUCAAAAUUUAAUUACGGAUCUCAUUGAAUAAAUAAAAAAAUUACGGAUUGAAAUCGAGAGGAGAUUUAAACCUAAUUUGAAUCUAAAGAGCCAAAACCACUCUGUUUGAUUUAAAUCGAAUGGCAUGUUUUGCAUAAAAUGACAUGGUUUUGGUAAUUAAUUAAUUAAUAAAUAAAAGAAGCGAGAAAAAGAAAAGAAGGAAAAGACGUCGUUUUACUGUGCACCGUGUUCUUUCUCUGUGCCAGAUUUUGAAGAUAAGAGAUGGUUUUUCCCCUUUGUUUAAACCCUUUUUUUAGGCCCUCUCUCUCCUCCAUGAUAUUAGCUCGGAAAGAGUGCAACAACAGAUAUAUUAUGCAUAAAUAAUAUGUAAAAUGAGUUGUCUAUGUAAACGGUGUUCUAUCGAUUUAUAAGAUAGCUAGGUAGGUGUUGUUAUGAUAUGUGUUUUACUGACAAUUUAUAAUUAAGAAAUGGUAGGCAUUAUAUAAUUAACAAUUUGUGAGAAAGGAUAGCAGUACCAUACUAAUAACAAUUGUUUGGUCUGAGUUGUUUAAGUGGUGACCCAUACUAGUAGCAGUUGUUAAGUCAGGUCUAAAGAUAUUCGCACUCUCUCUUUUCUAUGAGGCCUUUGGCCCCAUCAUGUAUAAAGAAAUAUUUCCAAGGAAUCCUAGAGAUCGAAAUUCUCUCCAUCUGUGCAACUUCCCUUGGAUUCUCGCUUUUCGUCCUCACCAUUCUAAUGAUAUGCUUCCCGAUGACGUGCGAAGUAGAAACCGACAGCUUGGCCAAGUAGCAGUUGUUAAGUCAGGUCUAAAGAUAUUCGCUCUCUCUCUUUUUUAUGGGUCCUUUGGCCCCAUCAUGUAUAAUGAAAGAUUCAUUUGUGAAUGAAAAAUAGAGCUUUGUUCCAUUAGGAGUUGAAACCACCUAACUUGGCUUAAUUAGAUGUGACUAUAGAAAAAUCUAACAAUAAAUUUCAUUAAUCGUAUUUAAUGUGAUGAAUGUUCUUUGUAGCAGACGUACGUGAAGUGAUUUGAAAAAUAUAAAUAUUGAGUUUUAGAAACAUACAUUUCGUGAAAAUAAUUAUAUAAACACUUAUUGCACUAACCAAUAGCUAGCAGUUCAUACAUUAAAGUGUCCUUUCAUUCAUAUUAGUCUAACAUAGUGAUUCCUUUCUUUAUCCUCAUACUUUUUGUUAUUGAUUGCAUCCUUUAGUUUGUUGUUUGUUGGUUUUUUUUUAUUAGUAGUCUCUUUUAUUGGCAUGUUCUUGGUAAUCGAAGGUUUUUAUCAUAUUUUGAAACUUGAUUUGAGAUCAAUUUAAAUUUAAUGAGAUGAUGUUUGAAUUUUUUCCAUAAAGACAAAAUUUAGAAAAAAGGAUUAAAAAAAAUGCACUUUUGUCCCUUUUUCUUUACAUAUUUUUACUUUUGUUCCUUUAGUUUUAGCAUUUUAGGUUUUGGUCCAAAAUUCAUUAUGUUAUGUGUCGCACGUGUGCGGCGUCGCGGCAAAAACAUCCACCCUCAUAAUUUUCUUAUUAUCUAAUGUUAUCUAAAAAUGUGGCAAAUGUGGGGAGACAAUGAAUUCUUGUCUUUUAUUAGUGGAAAAAUGGGAGUCGCCACCUAGUAUUUUGGUCACUAGGAACCCUAACUGGUCUCAGAGAUCAGGUACGGGGACUGGUUGCGUAAAGGGAAGGUAUUAGCACCCCAAAUACGCCCUACCUAAGGUAAGCUGCAUUGUUUUAUUGUCUGAUAAAAUCUAAGGUCUUGUCGUGUUUUCUAGUUGUUGGUUCGUCUAUGGUUCAAGAAAAGUCUUCCUCGGUAAGGAGAUUCUUAUCUUAUCGGGUAAUUUUGAUGUCAACAAAAGAAAUUUAAUAUCCGGAAUACGUCUUAUGUAUAAGGUCGUAACCCCAGAUAUUAAAAGAAAACAAAAUAAUUUUUUUGGAAUUUUUGAAAUAUUGGCCUAGUUCUCGUGACUUUAAUAAACUGGUUAUUAAAACCAAAAUGCAUGCUAAUACAUAUUUUUGAACUUUUCUUUGUUAUAUGAAAAUACAAUAUGAAUUUUUUUUAAUUUUUGAGAGACUUGGCCGUAUGCAUGAAAACAAAAUAUUUUUUUAUGUUUUGACAAAAACCAGGUAUUUCAAUACCAGAUUUGUAUCUUUACAAUAUAAAAAUACAAACCAAUAUUGAUCAAAAUGCAGUAAAAUAUUUGCGGAAAAUCACAGAUUUUUUUUUAAAUAAUUUUUGAAGAAAUUUUUUUUUCUUUUUUUCGGGCUGGGCUGGACCCAACCACCCAUGUGGCUUGACCCAACUAAGCCAUGCACGCGUAAAAUUCUACGCGUGCAUAUAUUACCUUCGCACUGUUCAUCCUUCGUUUUUUCGUGCACCAGCAACAGCCUUGACAGAUCAAAAUUCAUUUUGUUAUGUUCAAAUUCGUGAGUUUGAGAGAGAAAAAAGAAAGUCACUUACUAUUGGGUGAGGUCUUAGUUUUUUCACCGGUUAAAAGUUGUUUCAAUAUUUGAUAUUAAAAAGUGUAGGGUGUUUAUUAGGUGUUUUCAAGUGAAAAAUUAAAAAAAAAAGUUUUUUUAGGUUCAAGAAAAUGAAACCUAACUUUGAGACCACCUAACUUGGCCGGAAAGGUUACCAAUUUAUCUCCCCGUAAUACGAGAUCAAAUAUUUUAAAUUGUAUUUAUCUUCUACUUUUAUAUUUAAUAUUUAAUUAUUAUUAACAACUCUUUUUAAUAAUUAUCAGCACAUAUUAUUAUCGAUUUAUUCUAUUAAAUACAUAUGUCAAAUUUUUAAUUCAUAGUUUGUUUUUUUAUACACUAAAAAACUAUUAACAAUCCCUAUCUUUUUUUUAUUAAAAGAAUAAUGUUUGAUCUCACUCGCUGUGAAGUUGCUAGUUACGUUAUCAUGUAUUGAAGUGGUUUGGUUUUAGAGGUAGGUAUGAUGGGUAAUAAUAUAUAUGUAUUUUGUUUCGAGAUUUUAAUUUCAAUUUAAAACCAUUUAAAGUGGAUUAGAAUUGAUUUUUAAGUUAAAAAUGGGUCUAUAGAAACUAUUAGGAUGGGUUUGAGGUUUUUAUGCUGAAAAUGAUUGAAAAUGGCCUUCGAUUAAUUAUAUUAUUAAAUUAACUAAUUUUAUUUAAUAUAAUCAAGUUAAUCACCAAAAUCUUAUAUUUUUUUUAAAGUAGUCUCAACAUUAUUUUUCCAUGUUAAAAAAAUCACACGGUAGAUAGCAAUCCGCGAGCCACCUAAUACUAAUACAUCAUUAGCUAACAUCCACUGGAGGAUUUAUUUUAUUGAAUAUAUAUAUAUAUAUAUAUAUAUAUAGACACACACAUCAAUCUUGGGUUCCCACUAGGAAAUUUUCUAGCUAUCGAAGCGUCGCUUAGAAAACAUAGCAGGAAUCAUACCCACAGUAUAGCUCGGAUGCAUUGGCUGAUUGAUCAAGAAAGGGUUCUACGAAUCUAAUAUAGUUUGUUUUCACUUGACUACAAAAUUAACAAAGGCCACUCAUCUUCUAGAGUGAAGGAACCCUUCUCCAAUAUCAAAUCUUUAUAUGUUUGAAUAUCUAAAAAGAAGAAAAGGCAACCAAAUUUUCAAGCUUUUUCCCUCUAUUUUUUUUUUUUGGGGGGGGGGGGGGGGAGCAAAAAAGGUCAUGGAUUUUUGCCAUUUUUUGGUUACAUGGAGAGCAGGGGGAUCUCAUUAAAGCAAAUAAUUCAUCAAUCAUAAUCAAAACUCAAAACAAAGCAUGCAAGUACAAGUACACCAUGAAUUUUAAUGUUGAUGGUAAAAAAUUAAAAAUGGUGUAAAUUGAGAUGGAGAGCUAAAUAUAUAAAAAGACCAAAAAACAAAACGAAUGCUAUAAUCAAAUUUCGAACAUCUAAAAGGUAUCUUGUGUGCGACUAUUUCCAUGUCAUUAUGUACGACAGAAAAAAGAGAGGAUGCUAUAAAAGAAUGUGUGGAACCAAGUGAAACAAUGAACAUCCAAAAGGGGAGUUUGAAAUUGAUGAAUUAAAUUUUUAUCUCUAUAUUUUUUUAAAAAAAUUAUAAAUAUAAAUUUUCAGGAAUAUAAAUAUAUUACAAUGAAAGCAUGUUAAGUUCGACGCUAGUCAGACCCGUGCAUGUUAGACUUAACAAUAUACCAAGCCUCAAACAUGUUAGGUCCGACAAUGUGAAAUGACCUUCCUCUCUUUUAGACUAAAUAUAUUGUUUUAAACAACAAUAAUUUAUACAUUAAAGGGUCUUUUCGAUCCUACUAGACCAACAAAAUUAUAUAAAUAUUUAAAACAAAGCUAUUAAUAUGAUAUUUAUUAUGGAUUAUAUUCUAUUAUGCCUUUCAUUGUUAAAUUUUGUCAUCCAAUUUAUAAUUUGAAGUCAUUGGAGCAUAGCUAUUUGAAUAGCUAAAAUAGCAUCUUCUUACCAAGCUUACCGAUCGAGCCAAAAGCAAGUUGAAAGUAUAUAUACCCGCUAGUCAACAUACCUCAAUUGUGAUGUGUGUGGCUCAACCCCUGCUCUUGACAGGAAGGUGCCUCUGCUCGCAAUGCGCGUUCCAUAUCCCUUUCAUAUCUCUUCUCACUUUUUCUCCACUGAAACUCCAUCUUCUUUACAGUGUAAGAAAAAGAUCCGUAAGAAAAUCCAGGAAACUUACCAGUACGAGUUCUUGACCUAAAGGAACCGGAACAAAUUCAAAGUCAUUGGAAUAAAAAGAAAGAAAAAGGCUUUCGAAGUUGGUUACUAAGGCUAAGUUUGUUUUCCGGAAUUUAUUUUCUAGAAAACUAUUUUCCAAACUUUCUUGUGUUUGUUUGUCAUUAGAAAAGUUAGUCAACGAAAAAUACUUUUCAGUCAAAGGAAAAUUUGACUUGGUUUACAGGAAAAUAUUUUCCUGAAAAAUUUGAGCGGAAAACACUUUCCGGAAGUUGUGAAAAAUUUAGAAAUGUCAAAUUUGAUCCUCAAACUUUUGAUUGCUAUAUAUAUUUUGUUUUGAAUAUUUAUUUUUCAAUUUCAUCUCUUAAAAUUUAAUUUUUAUAAACUUUGGUCCUCAUUUUUAUAAUUGUUAUUUGCUUUUCCCUUAUCAUUUUUUUAUUGAAAUUUUUUAUGUAUCAAAUUUGAUCCUCAUUCUUUUGAUUGUUACUUAUUUUAUUUGAAAUAAUUUAUGAAAUGUUAAUUAUUAUUAUUUUAAUUUCUUCAUCUUUUUUUUUAGAUUUGAUCUCUAUUAUUUUGAUUAUUAUUUAUUUUAUUUGAGAUAAUUUAUGAAAUUAUAUUUUUUUUUCAAUUUCAUUCUCAUUCAACUUUUUAAUUUGUAAGAUUUGUUUCUCAUUAUUUUAAUAAACUUGAGAAAAAUAAAAUAUUAAUAAGUUAUUUUCCAACUCAUUUUCCAUGACAUAACCAAAUACUGAAAAGUGUUUUCCAACUUAUUUUCCAUUACACUACCAAACAUCAGAAAAUAAUUUACUUUAAAAAAAAAACUACUUUCCAGCAAACAAACAGAGCCUAAGAUACCAGAAGAAAAAGAAAUAUUGGGCGUGGCCUGGAUCUUGUGCCUCUUUAGCCAACACUUACCACCCGGUUUGUUUCGUCUAGAUUCGUGAAAUACUCGUAGAAAUUUGGUGUUUUCUGAUUUCUAAGUAGAAUUGUACAUGUUCCAGCUUGGAAUUGCUAAUUGGUAGAUUUGAUUGCCAAAUUUCUUGAUCUUACCUUCUGUUUCAUGUUUGACCACAGGAGCAGGCCUUACACAAAAUAGCGUGGAAAGCAAUUGCUGAACCAAGCGAGCUAGUUGAGGCCAGAAGGGAUCGGUACUAGUUUAUCGCUAUUGGGAUUUUCAUGGCUUCCAGCAGCAUGCAAGGAAUAACCUCAUCUUCAUCUCCUCCUCCUCCACUAUAUAUGCAUGAUGUGUUCCUUAGUUUUAGAGGCAAAGACACGCGGAACAACUUUACUAGUCAUCUACAAACUAAUCUGGCACAGAGAGGCAUCGAUGCAUACAUGGAUGAUAGGGAGCUCGAGAGAGGAAAGACCAUUGAACCUGCUCUCUGGAAGGCCAUCGAAGAAUCAAGGUUUUCUGUCAUUAUAUUUUCAAGAGAUUACGCUUCUUCACCAUGGUGCUUGGAUGAACUUGUCAAGAUUGUUCAGUGCAUGAAAGAGAUGGGGCACACUGUUCUGCCAGUUUUUUAUGAUGUGGAUCCCUCAGAGACAUAUGAGAAAGCCUUCGUUGAGCAUGAACAAAAUUUCAAGGAAAAUCUGGAGAAGGUCCAGAUCUGGAAAGAUUGUCUCUCUACGGUGACCAAUCUAUCAGGCUGGGACAUACGGAAUAGGUAAAUCAUCUAUCUACUUAUUCUUAUUCUCAAAUCCUCCCUGUAUUGUUUCAAUGAUGAUCAUAGCUUUACAAACAACGCCCUGCAUGCCAUAGAGAUGAACAAUUUUUUUUCCUAACCAAUUGUAAAUCAAAGUGCACAAGCCCUGACCAGUAAGAAACUGGGAACAACACCCAAUAGCUACUGUAGUGAAUCCAAGCUCGUCUUUCCCUUUUUUUUUUUUUUUUUUAAACUCAUGAGCUAUAAAUACAUAAUGAGAUUUUUAGAAUAAAGAUUCAUAAUUUUCUUUUUUUAUUGAAUAUAUAAUUUCAAAGCAUCUUUCUAAAAUAUUAUUUUAUUUCUUUUAAAAAAUAUAUUUAUAUAAGCAUCGAAUUUCAUUAUAAAUCAUGUUCAAAAAAAAAAAUUCAGCAAGCAAGCUAUAAAGGGGUCUAUAUUUGCUUUCAUUAACUAAAAUAGCAAUAGCAACACAAUCCAUAUACAUAGUUGGAAAUUGAUGAUCGUCCUGAUAAUUAAAAAAAAAAAAAAAACAGGAAGCAUUACAAACAACGCCAUAGAGAUGAACGAUUUAUUUUUUUCCAACCAACUGUAAAUCAAAGUGCACAAGCCUGACCAAUAAGAAACUGGGAACAACACGCAAUAGCUAUACUGAACAAAUAAAUCAAACCGCGAAAUACAUGAAACUGGAGACGGUCAACAAAAACCAAACAAGACAAACUUAUAGUGCUGGAACCAUCAUCAUCACCCCAUCUUUUUUUUUUCUCUCUGUCCCCUUUUAGGAACCACAAUUCUACACUUCUCUUCCCACUUUAUCCUCCCAUCUCAUCUCUUUUUUUAUCCCUGUUAAAAAGACCAAAACAGCCCUAAAAAACAACCUUACUUUCCAACAAACCAAAGACAAAACCUACAGUGUUUUACCAGUUACAGUGAUUUCACUGCAUGUUUUAGCUUUUUGUUAAUUAAUAUAUUUUAUGUGAAAAAAAUAAUAUAAAUAUUUAAAACAAAGCUAUUUUCUAACUUUUACACUAAAUAUAUUAUUUUAAACAACGACAAUCUAUACAUUAAAGGGUCUUUUUGAUCCUACUAGACCAACAAAAUUAUAUAAAUAUUUAAAACAAAGCUAUUAAUAUGAUAUUUAUUAUUGAUUAUAUUUUAUUAUGCCUUUCAUUGUUAAAUUUUGUCAUCCAGAUUAUAAUUUGAAGUCGUUGGAGCAUAGUUAUUUGAAUAGCUAAAAUACAUUUUCUUUUACUAAAAUUCUAUUUUUACAUAUCUACGUAGCAUAGCCAAAACCAAAAGGAAAGUAUAUAUACUCGUUAGCCAACAUAUUUUUAUCUAUAAUUAGCAUUUGUUUGUCUCUUUAAAAACAGAACAAUAGAAAAAAAAAGCCUGUAAAUCUCAGAGCCUAAAAAAUUUGAUAGUAUAUAUAAAACUGAAAAUUAAAAAUAUUCAUAAAAUUUUGAUUUUAGAAAUUUAAAAUUUAAACUUCAAAUUAUAUCUUUUAACUUUGAUAUUACUUUAUUAAUUUUAUAAAUUACUUAUAUUAAUUAAUUGUAUAAUUGAUAACAUGAUUGUAUUAUAUAUAAAAUAAUUAAACUAGUUAUAUAACUAUAUUAAAAUAAGUUUAAUAUAAAAUAUAUUAAAAUAUAAUUAACUCUCCUAAAUAACUUUUUACCAUUAAAAUUGGACAUAAAAAAACUAUAUUUACAUCCAUUUUUAUCAAUUUAAUUUUUAACUUCUAAAAAUAGCAUGUCUUAUUGAAGUUGCUCUUAUGCAGAAUUACAAGGGCCAAAGGGAAAGAGACAAAAGAAGUCCAAAAAUAUUUAUUUUAAACAUAGAUGCUUGACUUGAAAAUUCAUUACAAAACACGAAUCAACUCAAUUAAUUGUGAUGUGCGUGGCCCAACCCCUGCUCUUGACAGGAAGGUGCCUCUGCUGCCCAAUGCGCGUUCGAUAUCCCUUUCAUUUCUUUCUCUACUGUUUCUCCACCGAAAGUCCAACUUCUUUACAGUGUAAGAUCCGUAAGAAAAUCAUUGGAAACUUACCAAUACGAGUUCUUGACCUAAAGGAACCGGAAAAAAUUCGAUGUCAUUGGAAUAAAAAGAAAGUCAAGGGCUUUGGAAGUUGGUUACUAAGAUACCAGAAGAAGAAAAAAUAUUGAGCCUGGCUGGAUCUUGUGCCUCUUUAGCCAACACUUACCACACGGUUUGUUUCGUCUAGAUUCGUGUAAUACUUGUAGAAAUUUGGUGUUUUCUGAUUUAUGAGUAGAAUUGUACAUGUUCCAGCUUGAAAUUGCUAAUUGGUAGAUUUAAUUGCCAAAUUUCUUGAUCUUACCUUCUGUUUCAUGUUUGACCACAGGAGCAGGCCUUAUACAAAAUAGCGUGGAAAGCAAUUGCUGAACCAAGCGAGCUAGUUGAAGCCAGAAGGGAUCGGUACUAGUUAAUUUAUCGCUAUAGGGAUUUUCAUGGCUUCCACCAGCGUGCAAGGAAUAACCUCAUCUUCAUCUUCUCCUCCUCCACUAUAUAUGCAUGAUGUGUUCCUUAGUUUUAGAGGCAAAGACACCCGGAACAACUUUACUAGUCAUCUAUGUUCUAAUCUGGCACAGAGAGGCAUCGAUGUGUACGUGGAUGAUAGGGAGCUCGAGAGAGGAAAGACCAUCGAACCUGCUCUCUGGAAGGCCAUCGAAGAAUCAAGGUUUUCUGUCAUUAUAUUUUCACGAGAUUACGCUUCUUCACCAUGGUGCCUGGAUGAACUUGUCAAGAUUGUUCAGUGCAUGAAAGAGACGGGGCACACUGUUCUGCCAGUUUUUUAUGAUGUGGAUCCCUCAGAGGUAGCCGAGCAGAAAGGGCAAUAUGAGAAAGCCUUCGGUGAGCAUGAACAAAAUUUCAAGGAAAACUUGGAGAAGGUCCGGAACUGGAAAGAUUGUCUCUCUACGGUGGCUAAUCUAUCAGGCUGGGACGUGCGAGAUAGGUAAAUCAUCUAUCUACUUAUUCUUAUUCUCAAAUCCUCACUGUAUUGUUUCAAUGAUGAUCAUAGCUUCUUUUUUUUUUUUUCAAUUUAAACGUGUGAUUAAAUAUCGAAAUAAUCACAAUACAACAAGAGUUUCAAAACUAAUUCUUGAGUAAAUAAUUAUUAGUAUAUAUUUCCUGUAAAAUUAAAAAUACUUACCUUAUCUUCAAGGGCUUAUUCAUGCUUCUUCUUUUUUUGUGAUAAAAAAAAAGAAAGUGGUUGGCUUGUUUGUAGAACACACAGAAAGUUGCCUUAUUUAAGCAGCACGAGCAAUGACUUAUUAAAUCACCAAUUUGUGCUUCAGAUCGCGAGUUUCACAUGUUAAUUAUAGUUAUUCCAAGUCGAUCUAGUAUUUUGUCAUCACAAUUAUAUUUUUAAUUAAAUAUAUCAUUCAAUAUAUUAUUAUCUUAAUAUUUUAAAAGUGUUUUUAUAGCAUGUAUUGAAUUUUUUACUGUCAAAUAUUAUUAUAUUUUUUAAAGGUUAGAAACAAAUAAUAGGUUAAAGAACUACACGUUGAAGUGAAGUUUUCAACAAGUGGCAACUUAUCAUUAGUAUUUUUAAAAGGUUAUCAUCUAUGGUUCAGUUUUUAAGGUAUGACAUAUAAGCUACAUGAUUAUUUCUCAAAAUACUAUAGGUGGGAAAAAAACUUUUCAAAGUAGCACGGUUUCAUCCAUAGUUAAAGAAAAAAAUAAGGGAAGGAAAACCCAGCGUGACCCGGGGACCCUGUUAACUCGACAAGACCCGUUCAAAACCUGGUUGCGACCCAUUAAUUUUUUUUUACUCAAACGACGUCGUUUUGAUUUUUUUAAAAAAAAAUUGACCUGGACCUUGGACCGGACCGGCCACCAAGCCGGGUCUCAAAACUAUGGUUUCAUCAAUUGCAUAGGUCUCACUUACGCAACUUGACACAUCCAGGUCUCACAUGUCAAAAAAAAUCUUCCUUUCUUUUUUUGUUGGGUUGGUCCCUCAAUUUUUAUAUUUAGUUAACUUUAGUACUAUUAUUACGAUCAUUUCAUCUAUUCUUCUGCACACAGAAAAAUAUAUGAAUUAAAGUUAAUAUUUAUUUCAAAUGCAAUCGCUAAAAACGAGUUAAUUUUUGCCUAAAAUAUUGUUAUGUUUUUGCCCAACUUAAAUAAAAAUAAGUUUAUAUUAAUGAAAUGAUCAUUAUAUUGAAAUUAAUAUUAAGAUUGUAUGAAAAUUGAAAGGCCAAAUGAAAGAUUAAAUAGAGAAGAAAGAUGAAGAAAUGGGUUGUGAAAAUGGCAUACGUGAUAUCAGUGCAUCUCAAGGUGCGUGAAUUGGAUUUGCGCAACCACUUCAAAGGUUAGUCUGGGAAAUGUUUUUUGGGCUAUGCUAAUAUGGAAAAAACUCAAAAUUUAAUAAAUUUAAAGUUGUUUUUGUAAAGUUAAUUAUGCAAGAUAAUUGAAUUUUUUGUUAAAGAUAAUUAUAAAAAUAACUUAGUGGUCGAAAAAAAAUAUAAUAGAAUUCCAUUUGCUUUUUGGCCUGUUAAAACCAAACUUAAUGGAUAUUUUAUUUCCUAGCUUUUGUCCAUGCUUCUUUAGUAACUGUGUGAUUCCAUAGGCAAUAAGAUAGCUAUUGUAAGGAUCAUUCUUAGCAUCAAUACAAUCCUAGUUCCUUUUUCAGUUUAUUCUUUCCUUUUCCUCUCUGUUCUUGAAGCUAUCUAUUGUCAGAGCCCUAUCUUUCUCAAAGGUUGGUGUAUUAAUUUCCGGCUAACAGCCAUACAUUUUCGAGCUACAAUAUGCUAAUGUUUAUUUUCCUAUUAUCACUAUCUGAUUUGAUUUCUGCACACUGCAUGAUUAAUGUUUUGCACCCUCCUAUGCAGGAAUGAGUCGGAAUCAAUUAAAAUAAUUGCUGAAUACAUAUCGUACAAACUAAGCGUCACUCUGCCAACAAUUAGCAAAAAAUUGGUUGGAAUAGAUUCUCGUCUAGAGGUAUUAAAUGGCUAUAUAGGUGAAGAAGUAGGCAAAGCAAUCUUCAUAGGGAUAUGUGGAAUGGGUGGCUUGGGUAAGACGACUGUUGCAAGGGUAGUAUAUGAUAGGAUUCGUUGGCAAUUUGAAGGCAGCUGCUUCUUAGCAAAUGUCAGAGAAGUUUUUGCUGAGAAAGAUGGACCACGUCGUUUGCAGGAACAACUUCUUUCUGAAAUCUUAAUGGAACGUGCUUCUGUAUGGGAUUCUUAUAGAGGGAUUGAGAUGAUAAAGCGGAGGUUACGACUUAAAAAGAUUCUUCUUAUCCUUGAUGAUGUAGAUGAAAAAGAACAACUAGAAUUCUUGGCUGAGGAGCCUGGAUGGUUUGGUCCAGGGAGCAGAAUUAUCAUAACAAGCAGAGAUAAACAAGUGUUGACUAGAAAUGGUGUUGCUAGAAUUUAUGAGGCUGAGAAAUUGAAUGAUGAUGAUGCUCUUACGUUGUUUAGCCAGAAAGCUUUCAAAAAUGACCAACCUGCUGAAGAUUUCGUGGAACUAUCCAAGCAAGUUGUGGGUUAUGCUACUGGCCUUCCACUGGCUCUUGAAGUUAUGGGUACCUUUAUGCAUGGAAGAAGUAUCCUUGAAUGGGGAAGUGCGAUUAAUAGACUAAAUGAUAUUCCUGACCGUGAAAUUAUUGAUGUGCUUCGGAUUAGUUUUGAUGGUCUCCAUGAAUCAGAUAAGAAAAUAUUUUAGACAUUGCAUGUCUCCUCGAGGAGCAGCAGCUGCAGCUCGAGCAUAAGCUGAUGCUCGAUCAGCAGCAGAAGUUCCAUUAGCAGGUGCUUCAGCAGUGGCGGCAGCAGCAGCUCGAUGAGCAGCUGCUCCAGCAGCAGCAGGUGCUGCUCCAGCGGCAGCAAGUGCAGCAGCUCCCUGGGUUCUGGUUAGGAAUUUAACUUGCUUUAGCUUGAAGAUCUUCGUCAGUUUUUGCUCAUGGUUUUGGUUUGGGGUAAUUAGAUUCACAUUUUACUAUGUAUGGAUUUUCUUCUUAAAUUUAGGAUAAUCUCAUGUUUGCGGAUGGAAGGAUUGUUUCCAUAUUAAAACUUUUACAUGGCGGAAAGCCUGUGCUCUGGAAAAUUUCAACCAUUAUUUUGGAAUAGCUACUCUGCCUACUUUUUUUA